UCCGAUCUUGGUAAAAAUAAGAAGCCCGAACAAUCCGAUUAAAUAGAAAUUCGUGUUGGCCCAACAGUUGCAAGGUGAUUUCUCUGUGGACAUUCUGCCAAUCCUAGCCCACGUCCAGGUUACUGUUCCGUUUUUCUGGAUCCCCGUCGAUACAUGAUCUGCUGCUCCUCCGGCCAUAAUCCACCACGGAACAACCGAACAAGCCACCGCUCGCCCGCUCCAAAAGGCCGGCUGAAUACAUGCUGCGGCGGCAAGUGGAAAGCAGAUGAUCGAGCUGAGUACUCGAUGGCGCAGAGAAGACGGAUCGAGCAUCCAGUCUCGUCCUUGGCCACACGAGAGGAAGGGCUCUUCCUCCUCCAGCGCCAUUGAUCGAUGUGGUGUUUUUGUUCAAGUGGUUUUCUCUUGUUCGGUUUCUCUGUUGGAUCUUGGAUGGUUUGAUUUCUGGGUAACUUUAUUGAUUCCUCGAUUUGAUGAAGGUUGUAUUCGGUCUCGCCGAGAACCGGAACCGAAAUCAUCGGACGAAUCACGCAACUGCAAGUUGAAAUAUCUGAAAUAUCUAGGAAGAAGACAUAUUUGGGUCACGAGCUAAGGAGCCAUGCCAAACAAAAACAACAAGAGGUGAGUGCGCUCCUCCACUAAUCCUAAUGAUGAUAUUGAUGAGAAUUUUAUCCUGGUAAGACUAGUGUGCUACUUGUGUUCAUGUUUACAUCAAGAAGUCAAGCAUGCUUUUCGGACCAUCAAAUGACACACGAGCAGCUUCAGAUUUCAUCUCUAGUCUUGGUGCACCAUGCUGUCAAGCACAUAUGGAGAUCGAGUGAAGCUGACCAAAUACGAAGUCUAUUUUUACCCAAGAAAAAAAAUAUAUGAGUUCGACUACAACAUUUUCAGGGCAUUAGUUGCUGCACGAGGCUCCAUGAUCCACGAGGGGUGUUCCUAGUAGAGAAAAUUAUAGAACCACCACAUUUGGGACAACCUUUUAACAAAACUACAUUUGUUUCAAUUUUUUUUUACAAAUGACCAUCGCUUUUGAGCACCAAGGUACUUCCCUGCACUGAUUAGCGAGUUAAGAGCGUUUUGAUGCAAAACCUGACAAAAAGACCCACAUGUCGGUGCCACUGUGGCGCCACGCUGGACAAGCUCUGUUCCCCUCCCGAGCUCUCCUUCUCCACUGCUUCCCUUCUUCCCUCCCUCGUUUUCUCCUUAGCUGAGCCGCCUCCUACUCCUACUCUGGCGAGCUUGUCGAGCUCAAGUCGCCGUCUCCCUCGCUCAAGAUCCGCGCCCCCAAUUUGUAAUCCGCUUAACAACCUUCACCCAGUAGUUGGACCAGGCGCUUCCGCCGAUCACCUCCCUGGACCCGGCAGUCAUCCUGUAUUGGUAGCACACACGCCACUGGCGCCGCCGGCCGUGUCGUCCGUGAUGCUAGCGUCGUCCCUGACGUGGAGCGCGGCAGCGCACGAGCAGCCUUGAAGGCACCGGUCCACGCACUGCUGCAUCGUCACGUUGGUCAGCGGCAAGUCGGCCUUGAGCAUGAUGGUAUCUCCUCUCACCUCCACCAUGUAGUACGACGGCGUUGUGUUGCAGGUCAGGGAGGAGGCAAGUGUACGCCAUACAGGGAGAAGUCGUCGCAAGUCUCGGAGGAGGAGCAGACUCCGUGGAUGCCGCAGGCGAGGGGAAGCUGGUAGAACCUGUGCGCCUUGUACGUGGCGCUGAACCCAUUGAGGCCUUGGUCCAAGAAGUAGAGGCCCAGGUUGCCGUUGUUCCCGAGCUCAAAGAAUCUGACCCCCUGCAGCCCCGCACCCGAUUUCUCCACCGCCGGCAGGAUUCGCGUCCCAGGCUGCCCCGACAAAUCGAGCAUCGUUAGCCCCGACACGUCCAUUCCUGCGAAUGCCUUACUCUUGUUGUUGCGAGGAGUCAGGUCCCAGUAGGAGUAACGGCGGUGCCCGAAGACGAGAUAGGCGGUGAUCUUGUAUGAGAAAAGAGUUUAGUGACUAUGACUAGUGUGCUCAAGCCACAAAUUAGCAGACUUCUUUAGGUGAGGAAAUAUACUACUUGUCAUUUGCUGAAGGUAAAAAAAUGGUAUUUACACUUGUGUCUAAAAAAUUUGCAUGGUCCCCAAUAAAAAAUGUCUGAAACAUUCAUAAGUCUUACAUCACAAGAAGAUCACUACUUCGAUAUUUUUGUAUGAAUGUAAAAGGCACUAACUCAGGACAUAUAUAUUACACAAACUACUAUGGACACUGCAUGUAAAAAUGUCGAGGCGUGUCAUUUUACUAUAUAGCAUCACUACUUCUCCCCAGUAGUUGCUAUGUCAAGCUUCUUUCUUAUGAAACGGCUUCCCACUGGAUGGACACUGCAUGUAAAAUACACCAAAGAAUUUAGCCACAGAGUAUCACAAUAUAUAUCAAUGCUUCAAGCAAUACAAUAGGAUGCGUAAUCUUGGGACAUAUAUAUUGACAGAAACUAUUGGUUAUUUUUAACAAUGUACAUGAAUGAGGCGCAUAGGAUUGUUCCCUUGAUACUUGAUCCGGUGAAGAAGGGAACCAAAAGCAGACUGUGGAUGUCGUAUCGUCCCUGACGUGGAGCGCGGCAGCGCACCAGCAGCCUUGAAGGCACCGGUCUACGCACUGCUGCAUCGUCACGUUGGUCAGCGGCGAGUCGGCCUUGAGCACGAUGGUGUCUCCUCUCACCUCCACCAUGUCGUACGACAACGUCGUGUUGCAGGUCAGGGCAGCGGCAAGUGUACGCCGUAUAGGAAGAAGUCAUUGCAAGUCCCGGAGGAGGAGCAUACUCUGUGGACGCCGCAGGCGAGGGGAAGCUGGUAGAACCCCGAGCGCCUUGUACAUGGCGCUGAACCCAUUGACGCCUUGGUCAAAGAAGUAGAUGCCCAGGAAAUAUACUACUUGUCAUUUGCUCAAGGUAAAAAAAUGGUAUUUACACUUGUGUGUAAAACAUUUGCAUGGUCCCCAAGAAAAAAUGUCUGAAACAUUCAUAAGUCUUACAUCAGAAGAAAAUCACUACUUCGAUAUUUUUGUAUGUAUGUAAAAGGCGCUAUCUCAUGACAUAUAUAUUACACAAACAACAAAGAGAUAUAAACGGCCUAGGGUGUCGUCAAUACACUGGACUUGCACGACUAACUGCUUUUUUAUAUAUGCAAGUGAAGUGGCGACGUGAUUGCAGGCGUUAAUCCAUGGAUGAGGGUAGCUUCAUCGAUCCAAAGAGGUUUCCCAAGAGAUGGCACAGUGGGGAUAUGUCUCUCCUGCAUUUCCAUACCACGAGAUGCGCCCUGGCUUGGAAGCCAGGACUCGGAGACCUUGUAAUCGUUUUGCUAUUUAGUUAGGUAUCGAGCUUCCUUGUAACUUGGCUUUCGACAAAUAACUGAAUGGAACAAAUGGUUGUUAGGGUGGACGGGAGGAGCAGCUAACGAACCAAAAUAUUCCUUGUGAUUUAGUUCUUGAUAGUUCGUAGCUAAAUCCAGAGUCUUACAGCUUGACAUGUCCUAGAGGAGAAAAUUCGCUAGCUACAGUACCGACAGCUCCACUCCCUUUGUCGUCAUCCAGCUUGUUAUCCGUGGCAAUGAAACAAAUCAUUCCCUCACCAGUGUGAGAGUUAGCAUCUACUCUAGCAUUGUUUACGAAAUAAUUUGUAAGAAGAGAGUUCAUUAGUGUGCUCAAGCCACAAAUUAAUUUGACUUCUUUGUCGAGGAAAUAUACAGCUUUUCAGCUGAAGGUAAAAAACAUGGUAUUAACACUUGUGUAAAACAUUUGCAUGGUUCCCUAGAAAAAUGUCUGAAACAUUCAUAAGUCUAACAUCACUAGAACACUACUCCGAUUUUGUUGUAUGAAUGUAAAAGGCACCAACUCCUAACAUGUAUACUUGUGUGGUUCAGCUGCUGCUGCCAAUUACUCAAGUUCAGUUGCAGAUUUGGUAAACGGCCUCCCCUAUCAGCUCCUUGUCUAUUGGCUUUGUCAGGUGGAGAUCCAUCCCUGCUUCAAUGGCCUCCUGCAGGCCUUCCUCCAAGGAAUGCGCCGUCAAUGUGAUGAUCGCGGGGUGCGGAUCCCGUAGCGGCUCUCUUCCUUGCGGAUGGUCUUGGUCGCCUCAUAGCCGUCCAUCUCAGGCAUCUUAAACAAAACAGAGAGGGAUUAAUUGAUGUCUGAAUUGGAUCUUGUUGAUGGACAAUCAAAUUAAAUGAUCAAAUCAAAUACUGUAAGUUGAAUUACCUGGCACUCCAUUAAAACAACAUCGUAGGGCAAGCCCAAUGCAUCUAGGGUACGUCUACCUGUUCUCAUAGUUUCGAGGGACUUUGGGUGAGCUGUGUCCCCACUUUAUGGUAUAUUCAAAGAUAUUAGGCAUGAAAGAAACGGCAACAAAUAUCAGAUGUCACAGAAGAACUCAACGGAAGAAAAUGUAUUAGUGAUGUUAUGGCAAAUAAUAAAAACAAAAAGACUGAUAUAGCAUAGUAAACGGUGGAUGUCAUGUAACGUUUAAAUGGCAAAUGUAGUUUGUCUCUUUCUAUAUGGUAUUACAAAUAUUAGGAUGCGGUACCCUGUUAUGUCUGAAACAUUAGGUUCCUCAGGAAAAAAAUGUUUGAAACAUUUAUAAGACUUAUAUGUAGCAAAAGCCAAAGUGUUCACUCUGCCUUUUUUAUCACCUGACAACCGUACUGAUGAAGUCUUACGGCUAACACAUGCCCGAUAAGAUUGCAGAUGAGCUUGCUUCUGUAGGUUUCUGGUCCAUAGUCAAGAAGCUGAUGAAAAAGAUACAAGGUGAGUACUAUACUGUAUGCUCGAGCUCGAUUAAACCGUACAUUAGUAUAUACUCCUAUAAGAUGAAAACCGACAUAUAUGAGUUUGAGGAAGAAACCUUCAUGGUAACAGAAUUUUGGCGAACACAUCAUCGUAGACCAAGUGUGGAAACUCGAGGCGUUGUUUCACUAUAUAGCAUCACUACUUCCCCAGUAGUUGCUAUGUCAAGCUUCUUUCUUAUGAAACGGCUUCCCACUGGAUGGACACUGCAUGUAAAAUACACCAAAGGAUUUAGCCACAGAGUAUCACAAUAUAUAUCAAUGCUUCAAGCAAUACAAUAGGAUGCCUAAUCUUAAGGACAUAUAUAUUGACAGAAACUAUUGUUGAUUUUUAAUAAUGUACAUGAAUGAGGCGCAUAGGAUUGUUCCCUUGAUACUUGAUCCGGUGAAGAAGGUAACCAAACGCAGACUGUGGAUGUCACAUCGUCCCUGACGUGGAGCGUGGCAGCGCACAAGCAGCCUUGAAGGCACCGGUCUACGCACUGCUGUGCAUCGUCACGUUGGUCAGCGGCGAGUCGGCCUUGAGCACGAUGGUGUCUCCUCUCACCUCCACCAUGUCGUACGACAACAUCGUGUUGCAGGUUAGGGCAGCGGCAAGUGUACGCCGUACAGGGAGAAGUCAUUGCAAGUACCGGAGGAGGAGCAUACUCCGUGGACGCCGCAGGCGAGGGGAAGCUGGUAGAACCCCGACCGCGUUGUACGUGGCGCUGAACCCAUUGAGGCCUUGGUUAAAGAAGUAGAUGCCCAGGUUGCCGUUGUCCCCAAGCUCAAAGAAUCUGACCCCCUGCAGCCCCACGCCCGAUUUCUCCACCGCCGGCGGGAUUCGGGUCAUGGGCUGCCCCGACGAAUCGAGCAUCGUUAGCCCUGACGCGUCCAUUUCUGCGAAUGCCAUUGGUCUUGUUGUUGCGAGGAGUCAGCUCCCAGUAGGAGUAAUGGCGGUGCCUGAAGACGAGAUAGGUGGUGAUCUUGUAUGAGAAAAGAGUUUAGUGACUAUGACUAGUGUGCUCAAGCCACAAUUUUGGUGAGGAAAUAUACUACUUGUCAUUUGCUCAAGGUAAAAAAAUGGUAUUUACACUUGUGUGUAAAACAUUUGCAUGGUCCCCAAGAAAAAAAAAUCAUGGUAUUUACACUUGUGUAAAACACAUUUGCAUGGUUUCCUAGAAAAAGUGUCUGAAACGUUCACAAGUCUAACAUCAGAAGAAGAACAUUACUCCGGAAUGUAAAAAAUGUCUGAAACAUUCAUGAUUUUGUUUCUGGAAAUCCAGCAUGACGCAACACAAAUAGGCGAGAUACAAGUUUUUUGCUACAACAACAUAAGUUCAGCUGCUGCUACCAAUUACUGAAGUUCAGUUGCAUAUCUGGUAAACGGCCUCCACUAUCAGCUCCUUAUCUAUCGGCUUUGUCAGGUGGAGAUCCAUCCCUGCUUCAAUGGUCUCCCGCAGGCCUUCCUCCAAGGAAUGCGCCAUCAGCGUGAUGACCGCGGGGUGCGGAUCCCGUAGCGGCUCUCUUCUCAGCCAGCUUUAAGGCCCCAAGAAAUACAAGAUGAAAAGAAUGAGAUCGAAAAUUCUCCCUAGCUUAUUUUGCCAACCUACCCAAAUUCACAUUCAUAGCAAUUGGAGCUAGGGUAAAGCAGUGUCCCAAGCUUCUCCCAUCGACGCUUUGAAAGUACCCAACACUUUGCUCUGAAAUUACGGUCCCUACCACUGUGUGCUCUCCACACCCUCUAACCCAUCCCCGACCCCCUGGCUCUUGUUCUUACCCUCUUGUCCACUCUCACCUCGCCCUCCUUCUCCAGAGAACUAGGGUUCCCCACCGCCGCCGCCCAGAUCCCUCCCCACUUCCCUGCGCAGCUCCUCCCCCACUCGCUCCGUCACCCUCUCAGGCCCUGGCUCGCAAGUCCAGAUUUGGCAGCUGUCGAUCCGACAUGUCCACCCCGACGCCGCCGCUUUCUUGAGGUAUGGUCCCGCCUCUCCCCCUCCCCCUUUCUUGAGAUAAUAGUGUCGCUAUUUGCAAGACAUAGGAUGAUUUAAUGUCUUGUUUACAUAUGCUUUCGUAGAAUCAUCGUUUUGUUAAACUAGGAUUCCAACAUUGUACUACUACAAAUGCAGGCUCACCAAUCUCGUGUGAAUGUCUAGAGAAAAUAAAAUGGUAUAAUAUAUUCGGUGAAACAAGAUUUCUUCGAGAGUAUUGGUCGAAUACCGUUGUUACUAUUUGUUUUCUUUCUUUUUCCUUAUUUAGCAUUUUGGUGAUCACGUAUCAACUUUCUGACACAAAUUGUGUAUGGUAUAUUUUUCUCAAUCCUUUCUUGUUUCAUAAACCACAUUGUAACUAGUACGUAAUUCUAGUUGCUGAAUUUACCAUGCUAUAUUUGACCAAUGUUAUUUAUGUCAAGAGUUAUUAUUGUCAUCUAUCCCCUAUGAAGGAAAACAGAGAGAACCUGUGAACUCAAGUUCCAGCACUAGUUUUAUUUUUCACUAUUUCCUAUGAUGAAUGUUUACCAAUGGCCUGUUUUUUUUUAUUUUGGCAAAACUGUUAUCAGUGUCGGUUGCUCACCUACUGCCCGCCACUGAUGUGGUCGACAUAAGUAACGGCUCUGCUGCCCGCCACUGAUGGGGUGGACAUCAGUAACGGGUAAGCCGCCCGCCACUGAUGAUAAACUCAUCACUGGCAAGAAGUUAGUGGCGGGCGGCCUGCCUGUUACUGAUACACUUUUUCGACCGUCACAGAUAACCGUUUUUGUAGUAGUGGAGGUUUCCCAAGAGAUGGAAAUAGUGGGGAUACGUCUCUCCAGCAUUUCCAUCCAACAAGAUGCGCCCUUAUUUCGCUAUUUCGAAGAUCCAUGCAACAUAGCGGUGUCAGCACACCUGCAUCGCCUGCCAGUAGCGAGGAAAAGAAGGACAAGACUGCUGGGGCGACACCAAAGCCAGGAGGACGAUGUGUCUGCCGGCCUGGCUUGCAAGCCAGGACUGGGUACAGUGAGACCUUGUAAUCGUUUUGCUAUUUAGCUAGGUAUCGAGCUUCCUUGUAAGUUGGCUUUCGACAAAUAACCGACGGAUCGGAACAGAUGGUUGUUAGGGUGGAUGGGAGGAGCAGCUACCGAACCAAAAUAUUCCUUGAUUGAGUUCUUGAUAGUUCGUAGCUAAAUCCAGAGUCUUACAACAUAGACGUGUCCUAGAGGAGAAAACACGCUAGCUACAGUACCCACAGCUCCACUCCCUAUGUCUUCAUCCAGCUUGUUAUCCGUGGCAAUGAAACAAAUCAUUCCCUCACCAGUGUGGGAGUUAGCAUCUACUUUGGCAUUGUUUACGAAAUAAUUUGGUGAGAGGAGAGUUCAGUGACUAAGACAAGUGUGCUCAAGCCACAAAUUAGUUGACUUCUUUGGUGAGGAAAUAUACAGCUUUUCAUUUUCUCAAGGUAAAAAUCAUGGUAUUUACACUAGUGUAAAACACAUUUGCAUGGUUUCCUAGAAAAAGUGUCUGAAACAUUCACAAGUCUAACAUCACAAGAAGAACACUACUCCAGAAUGUAAAAAAUGUCUGAAACAUUCAUGAUUUUGUUUCUGGAAAUCCAGCACGACGCAACACAAAUAGGCCAGAUCCAAGUUUUUUGCUACAACAACAUAAGUUCAGUUGCUGCUACCAAUUACUGAAGUUCAGUUGCAGAUCUGGUAAACGGCCUCCACUAUCAGCUCCUUGUCUAUCGGCUUUGUCAGGUGGAGAUCCAUCCCUGCUUCAAUGGUCUCCCGCGCGCAGGCCUUCCUCCAAGGAAUGCGCCGUCAUUGUGAUGAUCGCGGGGUGCGGAUCCCGCGGCUCUCUUCCUUGUGGAUGGGCUUGGUCGACUGCCUCGUAGCCGUCCAUCUCGGGCAUCUGAAACAAAAGAGAGAGGGAUUAAUUGAUGUCUGAAUUGGAUCUUGUUGCUGGACAAUCAAAGUAAAUGAUCAAAUCAAAUGAGUUGAAUUAUGUGGCACUCCAUGAAAACAACAUCAUAGGCCAAGCCCAAUGCAUCUAGGGUAUGUCUACUUGUUGUCAUAGUUUCGAGGGACUUAAAGGGGUGAGAUAUCUCCCCACUUUAUGGUAUAUUCAAAAGAUUAUGCAUGAAGGAAACUGCAACAAAUAACAGAUAUCACAGAAGAAAUCAACGGAAGAUCGAAAAUGUAUUAGUGAUGUUAUGGCAAAUAAUAAAAAACUCGACCUGCAAAGGGGUAAGCCAUCCCAGGCAUUUGCAUUAAGAAGAAAACCUUCUCAGGCAGGUCGAAAACCCCCUGAACCACUGCCCCACACCACACACAGCGGCACUGAAGCCCGUUGGACCUGAGGAGUUCUAUUAGAUUUGUUCCCAUAAGCAUUACCCCAAGUGCUUCUUUGCAAUAUUAAAUGGCAAACAUAGUUUCUUUCUAUAUGGUAUUUACACAAUUAGGAUGCAGUACACUAAUAUGUCUGAAAUAAUGGUUCCUUGGGAAAAAUGUUCGAAACAUUUAUAAGGCUUAUAUGUAGCAAAAGCCAAAGUGUGUUUCACUGUGCCUUUUUUUUAUCACUUGACAACCGUACUGAUGAAGGCAGGGCUUAGGGCUAACACAUGCCCGAUAAGAUUGCAGAUGAGCUUGGUUCUGUAGGUUUCUGGUCCAUAGUCAAGAAGCUGACGAAAAAGAUACAAGGUAAGUACUAUACUAUAUGCUCGACCUCGAUUAAACCGCACAUUAGUACUCUAUAAGAUGAAAACUGACAUAUAUGAGGUUGAGGAAGAAACUUUCAUGACAACAGAAUUUUGGCGAACACAUCGUCGUAGACCAGUGUGGACACUCGAGGCGUCAUUUCACUAUAUAGCAUCACUACUUCCCCAAUGGUUGCUAUGUCAAGCUUCUUUCUUAUGAAACGGCUUCCCACUGGAUGGACACUGCAUGUAAAAUACACCAAACCAUUUAGCUACAGAGUAUCACAAUAUAUAUCAAUGCUUCAAGCAAUACAACAGGAUGCGUAAUCUUAUGGACAUAUAUAUUGACAGCAAGUAUUUUUGAUUUUUAACAAUGUACAUGAAUGAGGCGCAUAGGAUUGUUCCCUGGAUACUUGAUCCGGUGAAGAAGGGAACCAAACGCAGAGCUACUGCUAUUUAUUCCCGUACCCAAAAAACUGUGGAUGUUGUCCAGUCUGCCGCUAGCGUAUGCCAUCUCAACAUCACGAGCAUAGUGAUUCUUGAAAGCUUCGGGAGAGAAUACAUUUUGGUUGAGUUCUUGAAAAUUCGGUUCCGAUACAUUUUCUUCCGUUGAGUUCUUCUGCCCCACGCCUAGGGAGGCCGGACCCGCACCGCUGCUGUCCUCCCCGUGCCGGAUCCCGCCCCACUUGGCCUUCCUACGGUUGGAUCCCGACGUUGUGCUCGCCGCCACGCACCGUCAUCGGAGGUUGUCCAGCGCAGAUUGGUCUGUAUUUUUUUUCCUUUUUUAUUCAUCUCCAAACUUAGAAACUCCCCCGCGCCGGAUCCCUCCCCACCCGGAUCUCGGCGUGGUGCUCGCCACCACGCGUCGUCAUCGGAGCUUGUCCCGCGCACUGAUCUGGUGAGUAGUAUUUGUUUCCUAUUUAAUUCUUCUGCAAACUUAAAAACUCCUCCAUGCCGGAUCACGGCCUUCCUACGGCCAGAUCUCGCCGUUGUGCUCGCUGCCAUGCACUGUCGUCGGAGCUUAUCCUGCACAGAUCUGAUGAGUAUUUUUUCCCUUUUUUAGUUCUUCUGCAGACAAAAACUCCCUCGGGUCAGAUCCGCCCCACCUGGCCUUCCUACGGUUGGAUCCUGCCGUUGUGCUUGCCGCCACAUGCCAUCAUCGGAGGUCGUUAUGCGCAGAUUUGGUGAGUAUUUUUUUUCCUUUUUUAAUUAUUCCGCAAACUUUAAAACUCCCCAGUGUCGGAUCCCUCCAAACCUGACCCUUCCUACGGCCAGAUCUCGCCGUUGUGCUCACCAGUACGCGCCGUCAUCAGAGCUUGUCCUGUGCAGAUCUGGUGAGUAUUUUUUCCUUUUUUUAAUUAUACUGCAAAAUUUAAAACUCCCCCGUGCCGGAUCCCGGCCUUCAUACGGCCGGAUCCUGCCCUUGUGUUCGCUGCUGUGCACCAUCAUCGGAGCUCCUCCUGCACAGAUCUUGUGAGUAUUUUUCUUUCCUUUUUAGUUCUACCGAAAAACUACCCCGCACCAGAUCCACCCCACACGGCCUUCCUACGGCUGGAUCCUGCCGUACGUUGUGCUCAACACCAGGCGCCGUCAUCGGAGCUCAUCCCGCACAGAUCUAGUGAGUAUUUUUCUUUUCCUUUUUUUAGUUCUUCUACAAACUGAAAAACUCACCGGCACCAGAUCUGGGCCCCACCUGGCCUUUCUACGGCUGGAUCCUGCCGUUGUGCUCGCCCCAUGUGCCGUCAUCGGAGUCAUCGAGCUCGUCCCGUGCGGAUGUGAUGAGUAUUUUUUCCCUUUAAUUUAAUUGUUCUGUAAGAUUAAAAACUCCCCCAUGCCAGAUCCCGCCAUUGUGCCCGCUGCCACGCGUUGUCAUCGGAGCUCGUUCCAAAAUACAAGGGGGUCCCAAGUAUUUGAUAGGGAAAUGAGAGUUUUGUUUAAUCAGACAAUUAAUCCUCAUUAUUGGAUGCUAUGUUUACUUCCCACUUAAAUAAGAAUUCAUUUCAGUAGGAAUUAGCUAGGCAUCCUAUGCAUGUGUGAACCUUUUGUACGUAAGAAUAUUUCUAUUUUUCACUAAUGAAAGUAGCCUUCUCUCUCUUUCAACUGAGCAUAAUCAUACUCUCUUUCCACCACGGAGUGGCAUUUAAUUUUCAAAACAUGCAUAGCUAAUAAUGAUAGCACCUAAUAAUGGAUUUCCAUUAUUAUAUAAGACUUCAGAAAUGCCAAAACAUACCUUACCAUCAUUGCAUGAUCACAUCAUCAACUUCUUAGCCGCACUUCUAUGUUUGAGAUUAGUCCGGCCGGUUGUCCACGAUCAUCUUUAGGUACUCGAAGCUUCUUUCCUUUGUUGAUGCUUGUCAUGUUGUCAUCGGGGAAGUAUGAGAAAUGAUUUCCUCUGCCUGGAUGAUCCGGAAUAGCGCACCGUGCACCAUCGGAAAGCAAACGGCGUAGAGGUUAAUUUCGGUGCCCAUGUCACACACCAUAGGUGUGCCGGGCCAGUCGAUCCAGUACACGCAGAAGGUGGGCGGCGGAGGUGGAGUCUUGCUCCCAUCGCCACCAUUGGUGACAGGGAGGCUGUCCGGGUUAAUGCUCUCAUACCAACGCAACACAAUUUUAUGUGUAAAACAUUCGAUUCUUUAAGUAGAAUAAUGUUUGAAACAUUUACACUAUAACUCAUUAAUACAAUGUUAUGUGUAAACAUUUAGUUCUUUAGAGAAGAAUGUAUAAAACAUUUACACUAUAAUUCAUUACCUUCUUAUAAUUUGGGGACGUACUUAAUACAAUGUUAUGGGUAAAACAUUCGAUUCUUUGGAGAAGAAUGUUUGAAAGAUUUACACUAUAACUCAUUAAUACAAUGUUAAUUAUGUGUAAAACAUUCGGUUCUUUGGAGAAGAAUGUUUGAAACAUUUAGAAUAUAACGAGUUGCCUUCUUCCAAUUCAGGGACAUACUUAAUACAAUGUUAUGUUUAAAACAUUUGGUUCUUUGGAGAAGAAUGUUUGAAACAUUUACACUAUAACUCAUAAUACAAUUUUAUGUGUAAAACAUUCGAAUCUUUGGAGAAAAUGUUUGAAACAUUUACACUACUGCAGCCAUUACAUUCUAACAAUUUGGGGGCUUACUUAAUACAAUGUUAUGUGUAAAGCAUUCGGUUCUUCGGAGAAGAAUUUUCGAAACAUUUACACCAUAACUCAUUAAUACACUAUGAUGUGUAAAACAUUGGUUCUUUGGGGAAGAAUGUUUGAAACAUUUAGAAUAUAACUAAUUACCUUCUUCCAAUUCGGGGACGUACUUAAUACAACGUUAUGUGUAAAACAUUUGGUUGUUUGGAGAAGAAUGUUCGAAACAUUUACACUAUAACUCAUAAUACAAUUUUAUGUGUAAAACAUUCGAAUCUUCGGAGAAGAAUGUUUGAAACAUUUACACUAUGACUCAUUACCUUCUUCCAAUUUGGGGGCGUACUUAAUACAAUGUCCUGUGUAAAGCAUUUGGUCCUUCGGAGAGGAAUGUUUGAAAUAUUUACACCAUACUCAUUAAUACACUAUGAUGUGUAAAACAUUGGUUCUUUGGAGAAGAAUGUUUGAAACAUUUAUACUAUAACUCAUUACAUUCUUCCAAUUUGGGGGCUUACUUACACUACGCUAGAACGGGUUACCGGCGCACGAGCUCCGGUGGCGGUACAACUUGUCCAAAAAAUUCACCGCCACUCGACGUCGUUGGAGGAAUCCAAAAUGAAUACCAGUGGCGGUGAGCAACCACCGCCACUGCUAGUAGAGCACCGGUGGCGGUGAAAGCACUCGCACGACCAGCACCGGCAUCGGUGCUCUAGCACCCGUGGCGGUGGUCGUUCACCGCCACUGGAGCUCUUUAGUGGUCACCGGCGCACGAUCUACAGUGGCGGUUCAAGUGGUAAAAAAAACAAACCGCCAUUGGUAAGUUGUUGGCAGAAUCUGAAACGAGUACCAGUGGCGGUUAGCUUUCACCGCCGCUGAUACUGGAGCACCAGUGGCACCCGGGGUACCACCGCUGCGCGACGCGUGGGCCCCUGUUCCCGAGUUCCCGGGAAGGUUUCAUCCCGGGCAGCGUCUGUGAGCAGCCCGGCAAGCUACCAACCCGGAAGGGGCUAGCGGGGCUUCGGGGAAUAUUCCCGCCUGGGCACCUCCCGGGAAGCUGCUUCCCGGGUGCGUUGGGCCCGGGCGACUUCCCGGGGCUCGACUUGCCGAGACAGGGGGUUCCCGGGCGCAUGCCCCCGCCUCAAGCGUGGUGCCCAGUAGCCAGAUCAACAGCGCCACGCGAGCGCGUGGUGGGUGUGGGAUGCGCGGCCCCACCGGGGCAAGGAGUGAGGCGCACGGCUCAUUAAAUGAGCCGAUUGACGUGGCAUUACCCGUCCGAUCAAGGGAACAGUGGCUGUCCAAUCCUACUCUAGGGUUUUAGACCCCUAGCGGCGGAGGUCGCAUCCAUGCACGCCACCAGCUCACCGGGGGGGAGUUGUAUGCCUCCCUGCUCGACACUUGUAGCUCAUGCAUCGUGGCACCCGUGGCAUCCCCUUGAGUAUAAAAGGAGGACCCACGCCAACGGUCAGGGGGUUCGGAGGAAGUUCGGGUACUCUUAGUUAACUCCAGUAGACAGUAGGGUUCGGCUGAGUUCGAUCAGCCCACAGUUAGCCUCUAACAUUAGCAGAGGAUAGUGAGGAGCAUCUAGCCAGAGAGAGAGAGCCCGGGAACUCACCCGGCAACUUGUAAACAGUUGAUUCUAAACCAAUACCAGAUCAGACAAGCAGGACGUAGGGUUUUACACCUCCGGGUGGCCCGAACCUGGGUAAAAACGUGCAUGUGCCUGUUCUUUGAUUAGCGCGCACUUUCAGUAUUUCAUUUCGCCGGCCCUGCAGGGCCUCAUCGGCCGUGCCGGCGAUCGCCGGGGCGAACCCCGACGCCCCUGCCGAACCUAAAAGGGGGCCGUGACCGCACGCCCCCGGUGUCUGAGCACCGUGCGACGACAUCGGGCGCGCCAGGUAGGGGGCGCGGGAGUAGAGCUCCUCGGUAAUCGCCGGCAGCAGCGUUAGCAUCGAUGUCGGCUCCGCCUUCUUUGCCGACGGGACCAGCCACCAUGCCCCCCAAGCGGGCUGGUGAUCCACGGACAGACUCGCGUGCAGCCUCAGCGGCACACACGCGGUCGCACGACGUGCGACCUGAGUCGGAGGCUCAGGAGAACCCCGAGCCCUCGAGAGUGCAGCAACCAUAGCUGCCUCCCCCGCCUCCUCGGCCGUCUGUGGACAAUCGGUCGAGGGGACCGGUUACCCCCAGUGCCGGGGCCAGUCGCGCGAGCGGGCAUGGUGCCGCCCGCGCCGGCCAGCGAGUUGAGUCGCGGGCCGAGGAUGCUUCACGACAGCGGCACCAGGAGCACACCGCGUCGUGGGCAACUCCUGGGGGUUCGCACCCUGCGCACUCGGAGGCGUCCGGAGCCAGAGCGGGAAGCAGCCGCUCGGGAAACCGGCUGCCCCCCGCACGAACCCUGGCGGAAGCCAUCAUCGCCGCGUGCGUCAUGGUGCGGUACGAGCCGCAGCAAGGCACGCCGGCGCACGAGACGUGGGGCGAGGAGUUAGAAGCGCUUCUUGCCCUGGCCGCCCAGCAGCCGCAAGGCGAGGGCGCCCCAGUAGGCUCCGGCCACGGGCAGAACCCGGAGCGUGGGGACGCGCCACCUGCCUUGUGACAGGGGGAGAAUCCUCCCCCUCCGCAGGGAGGCCAAGGAGACGGGGGCCUGGAGGGGUCCUCGAACUCAUCGCCCACCGUUCCGGGGGGCGAUGCGCGUGGCAUCUUGAAUGCCCGCCAGUAGGAGGAUUUGCGCCCGCGCUUGGAGCGCCGGCGCAGGCGCGAGGUAGAGCGCCAGCGACCACAGGAGCAGGAAGAUGCUCCCAUGGGCCCCGAGGACGGUUGCACCGUGUUCACACGCGAGCUGCGGCGGGUGACGUGGCCCCGUAAGUUCUGAGCGCUCGCGCUCAGUACGUACGACGGGAUCGCCAACCCCAAGGAUUUCCUCCUGACCUACACGUUGGGCAUGCAUGCCAUCGGCGCCGACGACAAGGUCAGGGCAAACUGGUUCCCGAUGGUCCUGAAAGGAUCAGCGCGAACCUGGCUGCUCCACCUGCCCGCCGGGUCCAUCGCCACUUGGGCGGACCUGCGCGAGCAAUUCGUGAGCGCGUUCCAGGGCGGUUAUAAGCGCCCGGGAACCAUGGCGGAGCUGCACACUAUCGUGCAGAAGCCGGGAGAGACGUUGCGGGCCUUCGUCAACCGCUUUUCCAACCUCUCCUAUUCCAACCCAGAGGCGGAGGCGGCCGCCAUCAUCAACACCUUCGCCAUCAACGUCCGCGAUCCCAAGAUGCGCGAGAAGCUGAGCACGCAUCGGAUCCGGACGACGCAGGACCUGUACGCCUUGGCGCACAAAUGCGCCAUGGCCGAGGAAAGGCGCCUAGCGCCCGAGCUAGCAGCUAAGGCUGCCGCAAGCCCUCGAAAAGGGGUUCCCGCAAGCGCAGCGGGAAGCAAGUUCUCGCUGCGGACUCGGGGGCUCCUGCCACGAGGCCCGCGAAAAAGGCCUUGCCGGGUGGCGGGUCUGGCGGGAAGCAGGGCGAUUCGCCCCACUGCCCCAUCCACAUCAACUUCACCCACGACGCGCAGAACUGCCGCGUUCUGCAGGGGAUCAAGCAGCGGCGGGAGCAGCGCCAUGAGGAGCGCCGCGCCACCGGCUUCUGCUUCAACUGUGGCGACAUCGGGCAUCUCUCCCGAGAUUGCCCGAACGACCCCAGGGCAGGGCCAAGGCCUGCCGGCGGCGGAGCCGGCAGGGAUGAACCCCAAGGGGGGCGUGGUCAGCCCCACGCUGGGCGGGAACUCCCACCCCGGGGACGCGACAAGGCACGCGCUGAGGAGCAGCGCCAGUCCGACUGUACUGGCAGCGACGAGCCGGGCUUCCAGGAGCCUCACCGCGUCGCCUGCAUCCAUGGGGGAGCUUACGCUCUCUCAUGCCAUGCCGCGGUGAAGCAGCUCACCCGCGAUGUGUGCGCGCUGUUGCCGGAUGCGGAGCCGCAACAGCCGCUGAGGUGGUCUCACGUGCCGAUCACCUUCAGCGCCGACGAUCACCCAGCAGGACAGUUGGGUUCAGGAGUAAUACCCUUCGUUGUCUCGCCGAUCAUUAGUAAUAUGAUGGUGACCAAGGUUCUGGUGGACAACGGAGAGGGGCUUAACCUCCUGUCCGCCAGGCUGGUGGAAAAGCUCCAGCUGCCGGUGGAGCAGCUGAAGCCCACCGACCCGUUCCGGGGGGUGAACCCCGGGAUCGUGCGCCCGCUGGGAUGCAUCACGCUGUCGGUCACCUUCGGGUCCCGGGAAGUGUUCAGGACCGAACACAUAGUGUUCGACGUGGCGCAUACCCCGUUGCCCUACAAUGGGAUACUUGGUCGGCCAGCGCUGAUCAAGUUCAUGGCGGCCACGCAUUUUGCCUAUGGCGUGAUGAAGGUGCCGUCCGUCUAUGGAGUCCUCUCCAUCAGGUGCGACCUCAAGGAUGUGGCCUGGUGCGUUGGCGAAGUCGUCUGGGCCGCUGCCGCAGCUGACGCCGGCGACGAGGAUGCUGCCGGAGACGACGGCUUGCCGGGCGAUGCGCCGGCAACGAAGAAGGCCCGCGCUACCCCACAAGAGCUUGCUGGGGGAGGCGCAGGCUCGAGCUCGCGCCUCGGCAAGGGGCAGGGGCUCCAGGAGGAGGCCGCCAAGGUGAAGAAGCUGCCCCUCCAAGCUGGCGACAAGGAGCGCACCGUGACCGUCGGUGCGAACCUUACUGCCGAAUAGGAAAGCGCCCUCAUCACCUUCCUCCGGGAUAAUGCCGACGUGUUCGCUUGGAACCGUCGGAUCUUCCCGGAGUCCCCAGGGAGGUGAUUGAGCAUCGGUUCGCAGUGCGCCCGGAUGCGCACCCCGUCAAGCAGAAGAUUCGGCGGCAAGCACAAGAGCGCAAAGAUUUCAUCAAGUAAGAGGUGGACAAGCUCAAGGCUGCUGGGGCAAUCAGGGAAGUUCUGUACCCCACUUGGCUGGCUAACCCUGUAGUAGUGCCUAAAGCAGGGAAUAAGCUUCGCAUGUGUGUAGAUUUUACGGAUCUUAAUCACGCAUGCCCCAAGGAUCCCUUCCCUGUACCCCGUAUCGAUCAAAUAGUUGAUUCUAUCGCUGGUUGUGACUUGUUGAGUUUUCUGGAUGCUUUCUUCGGCUACCAUCAAAUCAAGAUGGCGGUCGAGGAUGAGGAAAAGACAGCGUUUAUCACCCCGGUUGGCUGUUAUUGUUAUACAUGCAUGCCUUUUGGGUUGAAGAACGUGGGCUCCACAUUUCAGCGCGCCCUGCGCGAAUGUUUGGGGCCCCAGCUAGGCCGCAACGUGGAGGCCUACAUGGACGACAUCGUCAUCAAAUCGAAGCGUGGGGACUCGCUGAUUGAUGACCUGCGGGAGACAUUUGACAACCUCCGCAGGAUGAAGCUCAAGCUGAACCCCGAUAAGUGCACCUUUGGUGUCAACUCCGGGCAGCUUCUGGGCUUCUUUGUUUCGCAUAGGGGGAUACAGGCCAACCCGACCAAGAUAGAAGCCAUCGAGAAGAUGGAGGCCCCCCGCAAGGUGAAGGAUGUCCAGCGCCUCAACGGCUGUGUUGCCGCGCUGGGACGUUUCAUCUCCAGGCUGGGCGAGCGUGCCCUGCCUUUCUUCAGGGUGAUGAAGAAGAAGGGUCCAGUCGAUUGGACUUCUGAGGACGAGGCGGCGUUCCGGGAACUCAAGCAGUACCUGAGGUCGCCGCCUGUCCUCGUUGCCCGCAAGCCGGGCGAGCCGCUGCUACUCUACCUAGCAGCGACUGACCAGGUGGUCAGCUCGGUGCUGGUUGCCGAGAGGGAGGAAGACGUCCCGGGUACCACCCCCGAGUCGGCGACCUCGGCACCGCGGAAGCGGUUGGUGCAGCACCCGGUGUACUUUGUUAGUACGGUGCUGCGCGACACGCGGACGAGGUACCCGCAAGUACAUAAGCUCCUUCUGGGGAUUCUCCUUUCGUCCCGCAAGCUGCGCCACUACUUUCAGGCGCACCGCGUCACGGUGGUGUCCGGGUUCUGCCUUGAGCGGGCCCUCACCAACCGUGAAGCCACCGGGAGAUUGGCCGAAUGGAGGAUGGAGUUGUCGGAGUUCGACCUCCAUUUCGCCAACUCUAAAAGCAUUAAGAGCACGGCCUUGGCGGACUUCGUCGCGGAAUGGACGUCCACGGGCGUAGAAGAAAGUGAACCAGAGACCAGCCUGCCCGGCAAGCUGGACGAGGACCACUGGGUCCUCUACUUCGACAGUGUGUUCAGUCUCCAAGGAGCAGGCGCUGGAGUUGUCAUCGAGUCACCGACAGGGGACCAGUUGAGGUUCAUUGUCCAACUCGACUUCUCGAACUCCACCAACAACACGGCGGAGUACGAGGGCUUGCUUGCCGGGUUGCGGGCAUCGGUCGCCCUCGACAUUAAGCGCCUAGUUGUUCGCGGCGAUUCCCAGCUCGUGAUCAACCAGGUGAACAAGGACUACGACUGCCCUCAAAUGGCGCCGUACGUGGAGGAGGUCCGCAAGCUAGAACGAAAGUUCAAAGGCCUGCGCUUCGAGCACGUCAAGCGGAAGGAUAACUUCGCUGCCGACGAGCUGGCCAAGAUGGCAGAAGAGCGCCAGAAGCCUCCGGCGGGGGUGUUCUGUCAGAAGCAAGCGGCUCCUUCAGUCGCCCCCCAGCCGGCUGCCGAGGACGCCCCUCCGGCAACCGAAGGAACCCCUAUAGUAGCGGGGGUCCAUGCCGCUGACAUAGCGGCAUGCGUUGGCAGGGAGAUUCCCCCAUGGGCGGAAGAAAUCGCCCGCUACUUGAAAGGGGAAGCUCUCCCAGAAGAUGACGUCGCCGCGGAGCGAGUAGCGCGGCAAGCCAAGAUGUACACUGUGAUGGAUGGGAACCUCUACCGCAGGCGUGCGAACGGUGUCAAGCUUAUCUGCGUGCCGCAGGAUGAAGGGCGCGCACUGUUGGAGGACAUACACCGGGGCACAUGUUCACACCAUGUGGCCUCCCGGGCUUUAGCCGACAAGGCAUUUCGGCAUGGCUUCUACUGGCCCAUGGCCCUGGCUGACGCGGAGCGGCUGGUGAGGACGUGCGAAGCGUGCCAGUUCCAUUCGAUAAAGAGCAACCAGCCAGCGCAAGCCCUACAUGUCAUCCCGUCCUCAUGGUCGUUCACGGUCUGUGAAGCGACCGCCCCCAUACAAGGGUUCGAUCUCUGUGCUUUAGUGCUAGUCCCUGGAUCGACUCACUAGCACACACAGUUUCAAGAUGUAAUAUCGUAGAACAAAGGUCUCAAUAUUACAACGAAUCAUCCAGAAUUUAAAGGUACUUACAACUCGCAUAACCUCACGGGUUAGCUGGAAAUAAAACAACUGUUUAGCAGCGGAAAACGGAAGAUACAAGCGCACAUUAACACCACGGUGAGAGCGUGUUGGAAUGUAAGCCCGUAACCCAAACAUGCAGAACGUACAUCUUACUCGUCGUCGGAGCUUCCUGCAUCAUUAAACGAUGCAGCCACUAGGGUCAAUACAUUGAAUGUAUUGGCAAGAUUCACUAGGAGUUAUACCAGAACCUACCAAGUAUAUGCAGUAUUUGGCAAGGUGGAGUUCAGGCUGUUUGCGUGGAAGCAGAACAUAAAUUACCCUACUACAAGGAAUGUUAUAAUAAUGUUAACUAAUGGACACGGGGUAGACACACCCAUGCUCCUAUUAACCUAGAGUACAUUGAAGUGGAUUCUUCAAGUGCUCCUACCCUGUUCAAACCAUUCAUUUUAUUUAAGAAAUUGGAAUGAGUGAGACUUUCCUUACAGCCCCAAUAUCUAGUUGCUCAUGAUUGUCCGUAACCGGGGACACGGCUAAGUACUUAGUUUGACACUCUGCAGAGGUUGUACACUUUACCCACAAGAAAUCGACGUGUUAAUCCCUUGCUGUCCUCAGGGUAGAGUAGCAACGGCAUCGAUUACAGGAAUUUUCAGACCAUAAUCACCUAGACCACCUGAGGGACCUAUGUUCCCACCUACACGGCUACAUUUGCACAAUCCCUCGGAUCCAGGAUCAUAUGUCUUACAUCCAUCCUGGCAGAGCACAUAUUACCAUGUGGUUGUACUGGAAGCUACUAAACAGGAAACUAGUCCAGUCUCUGUUACCCCAGGUGGCAUUCCACAUUUGCAACGUAGGCGCUUCCCGAAUCCACGGGAGAGACGUCCAUGGACGAUCCAUUCCUGAAUCCACAGGAACUCGACUCAGAGGGACCCAUAGAAAUGGACCUGACGCCGCUAAUCCUCAAAAUCCUCAAAGCAGCCCACCCAGGAUGGUUCAUUGAAUUAAUUGUUUUGCCUUACAUCUAACAAAAACAUUUCAUAUCGCCAAAGGCAUAACAAUAGCAUAAUGUAGUUAUUUCCCCCACGAUACUACCAUAGCGUAGCAUUCAACUACAAACGAUAGCAAUUUGGUGGCAAGGUAAUGGCAAGGGUAAACUAUACUGCCUGGGAUUUAUAGCUAGCAUAGAGGUACGAGUAAUAGUCCUAUCAAUGCAUCUCUACCAACAACACUAAUGCAUAAGCAUUUUAAAACAAUAAUAAUAAUGGGAUAUGAUCAAAGUGAACUUGCCUUGUCCAAAGUUGUGGUAAUUCUCGCACUCUUCGCAACAACAAGGAAUACACUCCACACAAUCUAAAAUAAAAGAAACACACACAAUAAACACAACAUUCAAUACAAAAACCAUGCCAUGAUGAUGCACACAAAGGUUACUUCUAAAAUUGUAACAUCCCAAAAUUUCAAACUUUUACAUGUGCAUUGCAUCCAUGAGCAUCAUGCCACAAUUGCAUGUUUGAAUUCAAAGUUUGAAUCACAAAAGGCUUUAAGAGAUUUUGUUUACACCCCUGUAACCUUUGGAUUUUCAAACCAAUAGGGUUGAUGUAUAAAAAGGGUUUAAUGCAUAUAUAAGCUAUCCCAUAAUUUUUGGUUAAUUAUUUGGAGUUGAAAAAGUAUUUUAUUCAAACAGAUAUAUAGCCCUAAAGGCAUUUAUAGGGCAAAUGUAUUUUUAUAUAUUUUACUUUGAGGGGAAUCUACUCCCAAAAGUUGUAUCAUGGUAGGACACGAUUUUACAAAUUUUCUGGAAUUUAUUUGGACCAAUUUGGAGUUCAAACUCAAAAGAUAUCAAAGAAAUGGGAAAAGCAGAAAAAAAGAGGGCUAAAAGAAAAAAAAAUAGAAAACCGGACCGGCUCGGCCAAAAUGGGCCGAACCGGCCCAGUCUGACCGCGCCCGACCGGCCCAGCCAGCCCGGCCGCCCGCGCGCGCGCGGAGACGCUGACAGUUGGGGCCCACCUGUCAAGCUCGUCGUCUCCGUUUGGAAGGCGCUCGAGCCGCCUGCGCCGGACUACCCGCGCCGCCGCAAUCACCGGAAUCCGGAGAUUCCGGCCUUCCCGAAACCCACCGGCUGCGUCACUUUAAAGCCCGAGCACCCCGCUUCUUUUCCCCCCCCGUUUGCCGUUGCUAUCACGCCGCCAGGCCGCCGGAAUUGCUCGCCGUUGGAGCUUCGGACGCCGCCGCAUCUUCGCUCGCCAACGCCGUCUCGGUGAGCCAUCCUUGUCGCCGCUCGCGCCUUCGUCUUCCUCUCUCUCUCGUGCACCCCAUGACACGCGCUCUUUUCGCUUUCGUGCCCUGCAGCUCGCCGACGACCGAGCCUGAAGCUCCGCAGCCGUCCGUCGCCCGCCGCCACGGCCACGUCGUCCUAGGCAAGCCCUCCGACCGCCCCGCGCUGCGCCGACCGCGCCAUCAACCUCAAGGCAUUGGAUCAGCAGAUCACCCAAAUAAAAUAAACCAAAUUCAUGUCACAUGUUUUGCAUUGCAUCAUGACAUAGAUAUUCUUUUGCUUGUAUGGUGUGUUUAUGUAUGUGUAUGUUUGCCUGAUUGUAUAGUUUUCUCGGAGAGCGAACUGUGUGACUGUGAAGAGUGUCUGAAUACCAAUUACUAUCAAGGCAAGUUCACUUUGAUCAUUAUCCCAUUAUUUUAUUAUGCACUAGAUUUUUAUUAGUUGCAUUGUUAGGAUUAUUAUUGUAUCUAUGCUAGCUAUGAUCUCUCCUAAUAGUGUAGGACACCUUUGCCAUUUUUCUCACCACCAAUUGCCAUCGUAGUAGUAAAAUGCUAUGCUAUGAUAAUAAACGAGGGCAGUAUUACUACAAUGUGUUACUAUUGAAUUACAAAUAUAGUUUUCCUGGUGUAUGGCAAAACAAGUAAUUCAAUGAACCGUCCUGGGUGGGCUGCUUUGAGUUUUCGGAUGUCGUGACGUUAGGUCCAUGUCUAUGGGGCCCGUUGAGUCGUCUCUCCGUGUGAUUCAGGAGCGUCCAUGGUCGUCUCCCCGUGCGAUUCGGGGAGCGCCUGCGUCACAAUGUGGGAUGCCACCCGGGGUAACCAGAUACUGGACUAGUUUCCUGUUUAGUAGCUUCCAGUACAACCACAUGGUAUUAUGGGCUCUGCCAGGAUGGAUGUAAGAAAUAUGAACCUGGAUCCGAGGUGACAUUGGUAUGUAGCAGUGUAGGUUGGAACGCGUCCCUCAGGUGGUUUGGGGAAAUAUGUUCUGAAAAUUCCUGUAAUCGAUGCCGUUGCUACUCUACCCUGAGGACAGCAAGGGAUUAACACGUCGAUUUCUUGUGGGUAAAGUGUACCACCUCUCGAGAGUGUCAAACUAAGUACUUAGCCGUGUCCCCGGUUACGGACAUUUAUGAGCAACUAGAUAUUGGAGCUGUAAGGAAAGUCUCACUCAUUCCAAUUUUCCUAAUAAAACGAAUGAAUUGAACUGGGUAGGAGCAUUGAUGUUUCUACUCAAUGUGCCUAGGUUAAUAGGAGCAUGGGUGUUUCUACCCCGUGUCCAAUAGAAUUCAAAACUAUUUGUCUAAAAAAAAUGAUAGGUUUUGAAUAAUGAUGCUUUUAUGCAAAAUGGCCAAACCCCACUUAGCCAAACUAUACAUGUACUUGGUAGGUCCUUUAUAACUCUAGUGAGCUUGCCAAUACAUUCAAAUGUAUUGACCACGUAGUGGCUGCAAUUAAUAAUGCAGGUGAAACUGACGAAGAGUGAGGUUCGUCGAUAUUUCUCUGGGUCAUGUGUUUACAUUCCAACAUGCUCUCUCCUCUGGGAGUAGAUGAGGCCCUUUUUCUCUACUUUUCCGCUGCAGCUUCGUGAUACUUUGUUAUCAUGAUUUUGAACAUUAUUUGUUUAUGCUGGCCUAGGAGGUCAUGCAAGUUUGUAAGUACAAUUUAAGUUCUGGAUGAUACGAUGUAAUAAAGUACUUUUGACCUUUGUAUCUUGGUAUUACAUCUUGAACUGUGUGUGCUAGUGAGUCGAUCCAGGGACUAGCACAAGUAAGCACAGAGAUCGAACCCUUGGUGAAGGGGGAUCGCUUCAGAUGGUAUCAGAGCAAUGUGUUGCCUGUAGGAACGUGACCCUACUUUGGAUUAGGAUAAGACAAGACCAAAGACCAAACCUUAGGAUUAAUUCUCAUCCCUAUCUGAUCUAUAUCGAUAUACAUACAUUUUAUUCCUUAUCCCUAUUCAUCUAAAUCUUUGCAUUUAUAUCUUACAUAUGCAUGACAUGUUUAUUGUUUUAUUCCACAUAUACACCGAAUACUAUGUUUAUUACCACAUAUGCAUACUUAAUAUAUUAUACCACAGAUGCAUAUUCGAUUUUUACACCAUACACCACUAUAAUCAUGUAGCCUUGUUAUUCACAUAGUAUUAUGCAUCCAAUUUUAUAUUUACAUUUCCAUCCUUGAUAUUAAUGUUUAUCACUUGAUACCCACUCUACCACAUUUAUUUUAUUUUUACUUACAUUCGACCAUUUGAUCAUGUCAUUGAUACUCCCUUAGCUCCUUCUUUAUUUUCUAUAGAUGGGAAGCCCAACACCGUUCGGCAAUGUACCGCCGUUCACCCGUGUCUACUACCCUUCCACGGAUGACGACCAGUUGUUCAGUGCCCCUUUGGCGGCACUGUGUGCUUUCCUCGACCUGCCACCACCCAGGUUCAGAGGCCGAGUCGAGACCGCCGCACCCGAGGGAUGGCAGCCACGGUGGGAGAUCGAGGCGAAGAUCCGGGGGCGUGAGAUCACGCCAGCUACACCGGAUAUCACCUUCAUCAGCCGCUACCCCACAUUCGAGCAGGGCCUUCAGUUUGCCAUGCAGUGCGCCUUCGCAUAGGUGUGCCGGGACUAUCGGCACGAGUUCCCCGAGGACUCCCCCUUCCUCCUCUUUGGAAGGCGGAACCAUGCAUGCUCGGCAGUGGCUACGACCAACGACGAGGAUGCCACCCCAGUGACGACCCACUUUGAGAACAUGGAAAUCAACACCGUGGACUUGGAGUCUUCUCUUGAGCACGAAAUCCCUUUUUACCACAAUACCCUCAUGGGUUAAAAUGCAAAUACUCAAAAGCAAGAUCAACGACCAAAAUCAAAUAAAGGCGUUUGAGCAAAAGGGUUUUCUUUUCUGGGCAAAAUCUUGGGUUUUGAAAGUGAUCGAAUGCAAGGGUGACAUGAUGCUCAUGAUAUGCAAUGCAUAUGAAGGGUUUUGGAAAUUGGGAUGUUACAGUCUGGGGCUCGACAUCGUCGGCAAGCUACCCAGGGCGGUUGGCGGUUACGAAUAUUUGUUCGUGGCCAUCGACAAGUUCUCCAAGUGGGUGGAGGUGGAACCAGUGCGGAAGGUGACCACUGCCCAGGCGGCCAUCAUGUUCUGCAGAGGCAUCGUGUGCCGGUUUGGUGUGCCUAACAGCAUCAUCACCGACAACGGCACGCAGUUCACGAGCGCGGCGUUUCAAGCCUAUUGCGAAGACAUGGGCACUAAGCCACGCUUCGCGUCCGUUGCUCACCCGAGGAGUAACAGACAGGCGGAGCGAGCCAACGCAGAGGUGCUGCGAGGGCUCAAGACGAGAACCUUUGACAAGCUCAAAGGCCACGGAAACACUGGGUCGAAGAACUCCAGCCCGUGCUGUGGUCCAUCCGGACCACACCUAGUCGGGCAACGAGUGAAACUUCUUUCGCCCUUGUCUACGGGGCAGAAGCGGUGCUGCCCCUCGAGGUCAAGCACGGAUCUCCUGGGUACGCGCGUACGGCGACACCAGCCAACACGAGCAAAGGGUUGACGAUCUAAACUUCAUCGAAGAGCUUCGAUGCCGGGCUGCUGUGCGAGCCGCGCGCUACCAACAGGGACUCCGUCGUUAUCACGACAGGCGAGUCCGUCCCCGAGGGCUCAAGAACGGAGACCUUGUCCUGCGCUGGAUACAAGGAACGAAGGCCGGGAACAAGUUGACUCCGAAAUGGGAGGGCCACUUCCGGGUAGUGCAGGUGACCAGGCCGGGGGUUGUCCGGCUGGAAACCGAAGACGGCUUGCCGGUGCCCAAUAGUUGGAAUAUUGAGCACUUGCGCAAGUUCUACCCGUGAAGCGGCGGAGCCCAACCCUCAGGUGAUGCCGCCGAUGCAUACCUCUCGAACUAGUGUAGCCGGGCAGCCCCCGUGUGUAAACCACUAGUUAUUGUGAAUAAAGAUAAGUGUUUCGCCCUUGAGCUUUGCAUCUGCCUUGUUUAUCCGCAUGUUCCUCUCUCUUCUGUCUCCUGCUUUAAGUGCACAAAGAUGUCUUUCCAUACUUGGUUGUGAGCAGGGGGCUGUUGGAGCCUCGAAAAACAUAAACCCGUCGUCGGAUUGUUCCGGCAUGGGGCAUGCAGUUGCCGGGCCUCCCGCAACGUGCAUCACUGGACAUGCAGUUGUUGGGCCUCCCGCAUUGUGCAUUGCUGGACAUGCGGUUGUCGGGCUCCCCGCAACGCACAUCCCUGGACGGGCAGUUGCCGGCCUCCCCGUAACGUGCACCGCGCAGUCACUGUGCCUGGGAAAUGAAAUGCUCACAUCCAAGUUUGGCAUUGACCCCUUUGCGCCCGGGGGCUGGGAGGCAGGAGGAGUUUGUCUGUGUUGCUUCGUGUAUUGUCGUGAAUUUCGAUUUUUUUUUGCAGCACCUCGGGCCUGGUAAGAAUCUAACCUGCAGGAAAGGGUGGAAUCUUGUGCACUGUGAUGCCUGUGGGCUGCCCACGGGUCGCACCAUGCACCAGUGCCUUGUGGUGCGGGAUGACCGCAACAAGAGGCUCACCGCACUCCGAGGCUUCUGACUCGGGAGGGCGCCGCCACGUGUACCACAGUUUCCUGGUAUGCAUGACGGCGGAGACUGUACGACGUUUCGAGGGAGGGGUGCCACGAGUGCUGUGCGGGUCCGUCGCGCGCGGUGGCAAACCCCCCUCCUGCGCCUAUAAAAGGCGCGCCCCAGCCACGGAACGGCUCAGAGCGAAGCCGGGCGAGGGGCCGUUAAGGCGGGUAGUGCCAUGGAGGCGCGAUGGUGGUGCAUCCCAUCGGCGCUUAGCGCCGACGGGUGCGUUGCCAUCGCGCCCCUGCCGCAUCACCCCAUCGAGCCCGCCCCGAUGGGCGUCGCAGAGGCACGGUGGUAGUGCAUGCCAUCGGCGUUCUGCACCGUCGGGUGCACUGCCGCCGUGCUCCUGCCGCGCCUCCUCAAGCGGAUGGCUCCUGGGCGAGGGUCGCCGCGGAGGCACUGUGGUGGUGCAUCCCAUCAGCGUUCGGCCUGACGGGGUGCAUUGCCGCAGUGCCCUUGCCGCACAGCGCAAGGAGCAAGGGCUGCCGCGGAGACUCUAUGGUAGUGCAUGCCAUCCGUGCCUUGUGCCAACGGGUGCACUAUCAUAGAGACCCGGCCGCAUUCCCCUCGAGCAGUUAUGCUCCCGGGCAACAAGGGUUGUUACACCCCUUGGGACGAGCUCCCCAGAAAAAACCAGGUCUCCCCGGUUGCGGGGCUGUCGCCGGGAGGCUAUAACUUCCUCGCCACCCGUGCCCGCCGCUCGGGGUGGGGCGCAGCUGGCGGCGAGGACGUUAUAGCCGUCUUGCGGCUGCUCCCGGGGCGGAGUCCUCCUAAGCCAGCGUUCCCCCCUGAAGGCGAGGGUUGCCGCAUGAGCGUGGUGGUAGCAUCGUCGGCGGCGGUUGCCGCUGGCGGCGAUCCUGCCCCCGCGCUCCUGCCGCAUCCUUCAGAAACAGUUUUCCUUGAACAGGCACCCGAGGUGGAUUCUUACCAACGCAGUGUUCCAGGUGCUCUUUUCCGCUAAGCGUCACGAGGCAUUGGACUGAACGGAAAAGCUAAGUGUCUGAACAUGAACACUGAAUUCGCUAAGAACUGAAAGAAAUGUAGCGCUGUCUCGUUGGGUGUGGCCCCAGAUCUUGCGCGUAGCCGGAAUGUUAAAAGGACGCCUGCGGGGGGCGUGCGCUCCCCGUGUGGCUUCGUGGGUCCGUCCCGGAAGGGCACGUCUUGGAGUAGUUAUCCCGCAAGUGGAGUGGCUCCCCGCUACCGCUUGGACCCAGGUCGGCACCGCGGGUCCAUCCCGGGUCCCUGGUCUGGUCAAGGGUGAGGCGUGCGAGUCCCCCGCAACACAAGGCAAAACACGCAAAGGCUAAAAGGGCCACCCCGCUAGACAGCGCCGGGAACAAUGAACAUGUCGAAAAACUUAAUUGACUGAGAGUCGAACGAUUACAUGGGCUAAUUCGAAAUAUGAUUGUUCAAACGGCGCUAAGCGCCAUACUUGCAGGGAAAUCAAACAAAAGAAGAUACAUUGGGGAGCAACAAGCGCGGCUGGGGGCUGCGGCAACUAGUUGCCGCCGUCUUCGGCCGGGGGGUCGGCGAGGAGAUCGGGCUCCGGCUUCAUCUGCAUCCGCUCGACGACCUCGUCGGCGAACUCACGCACUGCUUGGGUGUGGGUGGGCUCGUCCUCGCUGUCGGACCAAGCGUCCAGCAGGGACUCGAAGGGAAACUCCGGGUCUCGGAGAUGAAUCUGCGGGAGAAUUGUCCCGGCAACCUCCCGGGCGCAGUUGGCGACUUCCUUGGCGCCGUACCGGGCGAUCCAGACGUCGAGCGCCCAAGCUUUCCCACCAGGUCGGAGAAGAAGGGGAUCAGCGUCGUGACAUCUGUCCCGUCCACUUCCGCCGCCUGCAGGUCAAACUUGGGCAGCAGGUCGCACAGCGACUGGGCGAUCUUCAGCAGCUUCUUCGUCUCGAUUUGCCGCUGCCCGAUCAGCGUGCCGUGAUGGAGUCGAACGUCAUGCGCGGCCUUCUUAGCCUUGCGGACGUUGCCUUCCAUCGCCAUGAGCUCCGCGGCCUUCGCCGCGGUCUUGUUGCCGGCCUUGGAAAGCUCCUCCCGGACGGCGGCCAGCUCGGUCUCAAGCCUGGCCGCUCUGUCCUUGGCGGAGUUGAGCUCGGUCUCUUGCCGGGUUGCUGCUCCCACCGCAUCUUCGGUGGCCUUGACUUGCACCUCCAGCAUGACACGAAGGCCUUGGAUUUUGCCGCGGUAGUUGGCAAUCAAAAUGCUUUUCUCGUCCAGCCGGGCCUGGGCCGCUGCGACCACCUCGGCAUGUUCCUUCCUGGUCGCCUCAAGGGUAGCCGACAUCGAGUCGAGCUUCCCUUGAAGCUCCAUGCGCUGGGCCUCCAGUUGCCGAUGGAGCUCGGCCUCCGGGACCAUCGGCUCCCGGGCGUCCUCCAGGGCUUGCCGGGCCAGCCGGGCCUCCUCUUCGGCGAGGCACGUCUCCUCGCGCAGCCCGGACGGCUCUCGCCGCUCUUUCUCUACGGCCUCCCACACCUCACCGAGUUGAUUCUGGGCGGCUCCCUCACCUUGUUGAAGGAGGUGACGAAGGCCAGUUGCUGGUCCCUAACGGCGUCUAGGAACCGGUGCCCCCGCUCGAAGAUGCUCGGAUCCCAGGUGAGGGGGUUUCAAGCGACCCUGGCGAGGGUGCCGAGGUCGGUACCGGGGAGAGCCGCCGAGGACGAUGAAGCCCCUGCUGCCGAUGUGGGGCGGGGCGCGGAGUCCGCAGCUGCGGGCACAUCGCCGGGCGCUGUCACGGCGGCGGCGGUGUCCACCGCUGCCACCGUCUCCACCCCAGCAGGGCUAGACGUGAGAGCCGGUUCUGGCUCCACCUCCGCCCCCACGACCUCGGCGACCGGGUCGAGGUCGACCACGGUCGUGCCCGUUCCAGGUGUGGGCGCACUUGUGCCUGCAACAAUGAGAAGUGUGAGGAUCGGCGAGUGAUGGACCUAUCAAAGACGGACAAGGGUGGCCAGGAUGGUUACCUUGCGCGGUUGUCGGGCUUGUCGGGGAAGCCUCCCCUGCCUCGCCUGUGCCGGCGAGAGCGUCCAAGAGGCUUGCCGUGGGCGUGCUGCCGUUCACUGCGAAAAAAGGUACAUUCAUGAGUUUGGCUAACAAAAAUUGCAGUUGCAGAGGAGUAACGAAGACGUACCGGCUGCCGGUCCUGCCUCCGUGGGGGCUGGGUCGUCAAGGGCGCGCCCGCGUCGCUGCCGACCCCUGCGGCGGUGGGUUCGGCGGCGCUGCUGGCAUCGGUGCGCGCCCUCUUGCUUGGUGUGCCGAGAGGGGAAUCGCUCCUCGCUCUCUUGCUGGCACCCGCCGGAGCGCGAAGCCCCGGAAGACCCCCCGAGCAGGUGGCGCUGUGGGCGCCCGCGGGGUCGUCAUGACCCGGAGAGCCCCGGGUGUCAACGGUGAUGCCGCCGCGGUGCCGAGAGCCGAACUUGUGGAGGCCCCCGCUACCGGGGCGAAGGCCGUUGCCGGGGCACCGGCGACUCAUGCAGGCGCAGGCAUUGCCGGAGUACCGGCGGACGCCACGGUGCUGGCGGCUGCCGCUGAGGCGAAGGACGCCGCCGAGACACCCGCGGCGCCUGUUGCCGCGGAUGCCGUCGAGGUGUCGACGGGCGCCCCUGAAGCAGCCGCCGCCGCAAGGUUGGUGGCCACUGCCGGGGCGGAUGGUGCCGUCGAGGAGAUGGCUGUAGCUGCUGUCCUCGAUCUCCUCACGAUCAGGGGCGCGCUGUCGUUGCUUUCGUCAUCGUCGUCCACGGCGACGACCUCCGGGGACGCAGCCGCCUGGCCCACUUCGUCGUCCAGCGACUGGAGGGAGGGCCAGCUGGGCUCGGGUCCACCCCUGCUCUCCUCGAGCACCUGCUUCUCGCGAGGUGCUAGCGGGGGAGCGUGCAGGACCCGGGUGGGGGUGUCGUCCAUCAACCCCCACUCGUUGCAGGGCGGGAAGGCACCGACGAUGUAGCUGAGCGCCUUGACGCCGGCGUGAAGAGAGGAAACCCCCGGCGGGAACUCCGUAGAUUGGAAGGUCUCGCCGGAGAUCCCCUUCACCCAUGUCCUGAGGGUCUCAAAGUCCACGCCGUCCUGCUGGAGGCGUCUCUUGUCCCCGGGACCCGUGUACAUCCAUGCGGGCCGAGAGCGUAGCUGCAGUGGGGCUAUGCGCCGAUGGACGAAGGUGUGUGCCACGUCUACAUCGGUGAGCCCCGCUAGCCACAGCGCCUUGAUCUUCUCCACGAUGGGAAAAGAGGUCGGCGUCACGGUGGUACCUGUCCUGCCAGCCAUUCUGGGGUUGCGGCAGCUCCGUCGGCGACUGGAUGAACUCCUGGGGGUUCUCCACUCGGACCCAGCACCAAUCGCUCCGCCACACUUUUUCGAUCUUCUUCCCCGACCAGACAAUGAACUCGGACUUCAUCUGGUUGCGGGCGCGGAAUACCACCCCCGAUGACAUCGCCUUCGCGUUGUCAAUGCGGGGGUAGAAGUAGUGGUGGAAGAGCCCCACCGACGGCAUCACCCCCACGAACGCCUCGCGGAGGAACUGGAAGGUGGCGAGGAGGAAUAGCGACGUGGGGUGGAGCUGCGCCACCCGCAACUGGUAGGACUCCAUCAGUGCGUGGAGGAAUAGGGAGAAGGGCGGCACCAGGUUGCAGAGGAGGAAGCACGCGAACACCCGGAAGUGGGGGGCGCCAUGGGGAACGAGGGCGAAAGCUAGCAGGAGCGUAGGGAUGCGAGAUGCGGAAGGGGAUGGAGACGAAGGCUAUGGGGGCAGGGUGUUGUUCCGUACCCUACGGGUGCGCGGGGAUAAUUCCUAAUCAUUAGGAGUAAUGCGCGGAGUGGCCUUAACUUCCCUAUUUAGGAGGGGAGUUAGGGCGGAAAUCCCGCGCCCACUACUCCGUUACAAACGGCGCCGUACACGGGGCAGCGAAGGGACGUGGGCCCGCGGCAGAUCGGGGCCCACACGUCGGUUAAGGGCGUAGCCCGGCAACCAACCAGGGGGAAGACUCUUUCGGGAACAGGUGAUGCCAGCCCACGCCCGGGGGCUACUGUCGCACCAGUGGCACCCAGGGUACCACCGCUGCGCGACGCGUGGGCCCCCAUUCUCGAGUUCUCGGGAAGGUUUCAUCCCGGGCAGCGUCUGAGGGGGUUCCCGGGCGCAUGCCCCCGCCUCAAGCGUGGGGCCCAGUAGCCAGAUCAACAGCGCCACGCGGGCGCGUGGCGGGCGUGGGAUGCGCGGCCCCACCGGGGCAAGGAGUAAGGCGCACGGCUCAUUAAAUGAGCCGACCGACGAGGCGUUACCCGUCCGAUCAAGGGAACAGUGGCUGUCCAAUCCUACGCUAGGGUUUUAGACCCCUAGCGGCGGAGGUGGCAUCCAUGCACGCCACCAGCUCACUGGGGGGAGUUGUAUGCCUCCCCGCUCGACACUUGUAGCUCAUGCACCGUGGUACCUGUGGCAUCCCCUUGAAUAUAAAAGGAGGACCCACGCCAACGGUCAGGGGGUUCGGAGGAAGUUCGUGUACUCUCAGUUAACUCCAGUAGACAGUAGGGUUCGGCCGAGUUCGAUUAGCCCACAGUUAGCCUCUAGCAUUAGCAGAGGAUAGUGAGGAGCAUCUAGCCAGAGAGAGAGAGCCCGGGAACUCACCCGGCAACUUGUAAACACUUGAUUCUAAAGCAAUACCAGAUCAGACAAGAAGGACGUAGGGUUUUACACCUCCGGGUGGCCCGAACCUAGGUAAAAACAUGCGUGUGCUUGUUCUUUGAUUAGCGCGCACUUUCAGUAUUUCAUUUCGCCGGCCCCGCAGGGCCUCAUCGGCCGUGCCGGCGAUCGCCGGGGCGAACCCCGACGCCCCUGCCGAACCUAAAAGGGGGCGGUGACCGCACGCCCCCGGUGUCGGAGCACCGUGCGACAACAACCAGUGGCGGUGCGAGCACACAUGCGGCUUUCACCGCCACUCGUGCUCCUAGUACCAGUGGCCGCUUCAGUUAACCGCCACUGGUGCUCCUCAGAGUUUCCCAUCCCGGUUACCAGUGGUAGGCAGAUUCUUUGAACCGCCACUAGUAAGUUAUGUAUAAAAGCAAAGUCACUGUGGCCUUAUCUUCCUCAGCUCGCGCGUCUCUGGACCAGCUGCGGCUCCUCAACACAGGCGACGGCGAAGCUCUACCAAAAUUCCAUGGCGCCGGCGGUCGGAAGGUUGCUCCCUUUCCCUCUCCUUUCCUCUAGCUCCUUCCUCUCUUCUCUUCUUCCUCGAUGUGGCAGAAAUGGCGUCGACGGCCGGGAGGAGCUCGAUCUCUCUCCAGGAGCUGUCCCGGGCGGCCCCCUUGCUCGGGAGGUCCCCCACUCUUCCCCUAGUCCCGUUUCUCCCUCUCUUUCUGCUGCUGGUUGCUGCGUGCCCCCUCCCCUCUGUCUCUCUGGUCCCCUCUCUCUCUCUGCUCCCCUCUCUCUCUGUGAUUAAUUAAGUUCUCUCUCAGUAAAUAUGUGUUGAAUGUGCAUGUUCCGCGGCCAUCGUGCCAUGUUUGUAAAUUAUUUUUUUGUACAUGUAUACGGGCCGUCAUGCCGUGUGUGUUCACAUGUGGGUGUGGGUGGGUGUUUAUUUGGCAAUUUUUUGUAAAAUUUGUAAAUUUUAUAGCAAAGGUCAUGCUGAAAUUUUGUGUGAUACUAUAUGUAACUUGAUUUAUGUUUGUUUAUCGUGUUUUAGCUCGAUGAGCCGUGCUUGGAUGUACAAGGAGACAAGAAAUUGCGAAAAUUGGAUAAGAAAACCGAAGGAGUUCACUGAUGUCGCCACGGAACAUAUGCUGAGAAAAGGGGACGACAUGACAUGUUGUCCAUGUACCAAUUGUGGUAACACAAUGAUGCUUUUGCCAAGCGAUGUGGAGUUGCACUUGCUCCUACACAGUUUUGUGUUGGGUUAUUCACGUUGGACUUGUCACGGCGAGGAUGCCAUUGAAGUUGAAAGCGACCCAGAAAUGGAGAACAUGGAGCAUGAUGAUCCACCUGAUGAACCAUGCCGUGGCGAAGAUGAAGAAGUUCCGCAAGGCAGGGUGGCCGAAAUGCUAGAUGAUGUGCACCUGCGAAAACAGUUAGAUGACGCAGACGAUGAGAUAGUGUCCCAUAAAUUCCAGAAGCCGAGGGAGGACGCAGAUGCGCUGUUGUAUGAAAAUGCAGGGCUGGACAAAAGUGUGCUGGAAGUAACGCUCGAACUUCUCCGAAUGAAGGCAAAAUGUAACAUCGUGGACUCGGGAUUCACGGAUAUUUUGAUUUACCUUUCUACAGUUCUUCCUACCGGCAACAUGUUGCCUAAGAGCACGUACGAAGCGAAGAAGGUUGCAUGUCCCCUCGGGUUAGAGGUUGUCAGAUACCAUGCUUGUCCGUUGGACUGCAUCAUAUACAAGGGUGACUACAAAGACAAGCACAGCUGUCCAGUAUGCAAAACAUCCUGAUACAGGAAGAAAGACCCCAAUCCUGAGGGCCUCCCGGAGGAAGAAGUGACUCGUGGUCCAGCAGAGAAGACGAUAUGGUACCUCCCGUGUGGUAGCUGGUUGGAGCGUUGGUUUCAAAACGAGAAGGAGGCCAGGUGGUUCAUCUUCCACGACCCGACUCAGAAAGAUAUCGAUCCUGAUGGGGUGUAUCGUAACAACGAUGGUGUACUUAGACACCUCGCUGAUGCGGCUCAAUGGAGGACCCUGGAUGAGGAGUUUCCAGACUUCGGUGCAGAGCCCAGGAACAUUAGGUUUGGGAUGAGUAUGGACGGAAUCAAUCCGUUCGGAAACAUGAACAGCAAACACAGCACAUGGCCGGUGAUCCUGUUCAUAUACAACCUUCCUCCGUGGCUUAUCAUGAAGAGGAAGUACAUCCACCUAUCCAUGCUCAUACAAGGCCCUAAGCAACCGGGAGCUGAUCUGAACGUGUAUCUGGAGCUACUGAAAGGUGAACUUGCGAAACUUUGGAGUACGGGGCGAAAAGUAUCUGGACGAGUAUCUGGACGCUCACAAGAAGGAGGAGUUCACCCUUCGAGCAGCUCUGCAGACAUGUGUGCAUGACUACCCUGUGAACAGGAACUCUUUUUGCCAACUCACACAUGGGUACAAAGCGUGUACAAAGUGCAGGGAUGAAACGAACUCACCGAGGCUGCCAGUUUCAUAGAAGAUUGUGUACAUGGGACACCGGAAGUGGUUGCAACCCGAUGAUGACCCAUGGAGGAAGGACAAGAAAAACUUCAAUGGGAGGUCAGAGCCUCGCCCGAAGCCCAGGGAAAAGACUGGGCACGAAAUCUAUGAUAUUGUUAGGAACUUGGAAAUUGUUGCCAGAAAAGCAAAUCCGCAAGCGAAAGAGAAGGAUGGCGAUGGACCUGUGUGGAAAAGGAGGUCAGUGUUUUGGGACCUGCCUUACUGGAAAUUCUUACAAAGCCAUCACACCAUACAUGUCAUGCACAUCGAGAAGAACGUGUGCGACAGCCUUUUGGGCUUGCUAAUGAACAAUGCAGAUAAGACCAAAGAUGGGCCAAAGGCAUGGAAGGACCUAGAGUUCUUGGGCAUAAGAAAGAAGCUGUGGGCGGUAGAGGAAGAGUCACCGGAAGACCACAAUGGUGAAGUCACGGUAACGACACGAUGUAAACCUGCGUGUUACACCUUGAGCAAAGCCGAGUUACACAGAAUGUGCCAGUGUCUCCACAGCAUUAAAAUUCCAUCCAACUACUCGUCCAGCAUCAAGAGACUCGUUGACAUGAAGAGUCACAAGCUUGUUGGUAUGAAGUCUCAUGACUGCCACGUGAUUAUUACGCAGUUACUUCCAGUUGCAAUAAGAGGUGCCAUGGAGCCAUGGGUCAGAGAGACGGUGAUGAAGCUUUGUGACUUCUUUGACACAAUCGGGCAAAACUCCAUCACGGUGGAACGCUGCAUCCAGCUGAAGGAUUCAAUGAUACAAAUUUUGUGUGAAUGUGAGAUGUUCUUCCCUCCAACAUUCUUCGAUAUCAUGGUACAUCUGAUGGUCCACAUCACCGACGAGAUAAUCCUACUAGGGCACUCCUUUCUGCACAACAUGUAUGGGCCCGAACGAUACAACGGGGUGCUGAAGCGGUAUGUUCGUAACAGAGGGCAUCCGGAAGGUAGCAUCAUGCAAGGCUACCAUGCAGAAGAGUGUGUGGAGUAUGCCACUGAUUGGUUGGCGGAUCGCAAACCCAUAGGAGUACGCGAAUCACGACAUAAGGGCAAACUAGAAGGUGAAGGUGGGCUUGGCCAGAAGGUUCUGGAUGUGUAUUCAUCGGGGAGAGAGGACGACUAUAUGAGAGCACAUACAAUGGUGCUGCAACAUAUGUACGAGGUCCAGCCUUUCAUCGACAUGCAUAUGGAAGAACUUGAAAACAUGUACCCUAACAGGAGUGCUGAUUGGAUACACAAGACCCACAAUGCAACAUUCGCCAUGUGGCUCGAGAGUUUUUGGUAUGCCAGGGUGGCGGCAAAUGAAGAAGAAAUGACCGCUCAAAAGUUCUCGCGGCUACCCGACGGCUGCGUAGUGAGUUACCAGUCGUACGCAAUGAACGGGUAUACGUACUACACCAAGGAUCAAGAUCGUAAGAGCAGUUACAAAAAUAGCGGUAUAGUGCUGGUUGCUGAGACUAGUUUUGAUAACCAAGGUACUACAGAAGCGUACUAUGGCGUGAUCGAAAAGAUCUGAGAGCUUGACUACACCUUCACCACCAUCCCCAUGUUCCGUGUUAGAUGGGCACGUGAUGUCAGACAAGAAGAUCAUAGAUUCACAACAAUGACCCUGCCUCGUGAGGUUCCUCAUCAUAAAGUGGACGUGAAGAAAAUUCCUGCAAGAUGGGAACCAUGGCAGUUUGCUUCAAAAUGCAAACAAGUUUUCUUCAUCGACGACCCGACAAGCAAGAACCGUGUUGUCGUAAGGAGAGGGAAAAGAAGCAUAAUUGGCGUCGACGGAGUUACUUCACAACAAGACUAUGAAGGUUUUCCUGAUCCAACGUCAAAGCAAGAAGAAGAAGAAGCAUCAUGGACAAUCCAGACAAGGAAGAAGUCAAGACCUGAGGCAAGAGAGGAGGCAUACGUUAGAAGUGGCCAUAGCGAGACCCUAACAUAUAAGAGGAAGGAGAAGACCAGAAAGAAGAAGAAGGACAAGAUUGUGGAAUAGUUGAAUAUUUGUGUAUCUUUUCGUAGUUGAUGUUUAACGAUGCUUUUGAAUGGAAAAUUGUAACUUGUAGUAUGUCAAAUUUGAAAUCAAAAGUCUUAAAUAUGUUCUGAAUUUGAAAUAACUUGUUCAAAUUUGAAAUCAAAAAUAUGUUCUGAAUUUGAAAUAACUUGUUCAAAUUUGAUAGCAAAAUGUCUUAAAUAACUUGUUCAAAUUUCAAAUCAAAUGUCUUAAAUAACUUGUUCAAAUUUCAAAUAAAAUGUCUUAAAUAUGUUAUGAAUUUGAAAUAAAAUUUUCAAAUUAUAAAUCAAAUGCCAUAAAUAUUUUCUGAACUUCAAAAUAACUUGAUCAAAUUUCAUGGAAAAAAAUUAGCCCACCUACUCAACACGGCUUUUCGGGUUCGGGCCAAGCCCGAUAAACCAGUGAGCUGCCUACUACCUACUAAUGCCGGUUUGACCGGGCCCAUAGGACUUUGACCGACCCCACCAAGUACAAUCGGACUGACACCGGGCCCACAGGCCAGGAACAGAGUAGAACCGGGCCCAAGAGCACAACCGGGCCCACAGGCCAGGAUCAGAGCAGAGUACUAUGGGAAAUUGAAUCGGAAGUGAUGACCGAGUUGGAGAUUCCUAUUUAUGCUAGUCGAAACGGCUGUAAACAAGCAAGGUGGGACUAAACUCCCAACUCGCUUUGCAGAAGCUCGCGCUGAGGAGCACUAGUGGCGGUGAAAACGGAAGAACCGCCACUGGUGUGGAGCACUGGUGGCGGUGAAGGCGGUGCGGGCAACUAAAACAGCCACUGCUAUGAUUUUUCUUUUCUCGCCUAUUUUUCUGUCAUUUUUCUUUUUGCAAUUUUUUUUCUUUUUAUUUCAAUAAUAGGAAGUUUGAGAGAGAAUUUUGGUAUAAAUUCGUAAGCCGCUGAUACAUUUUAACCACUAGUGGCGGUGAGUGCACGGCAAACCGCCACCGCUAUUGAGCACUAGUGGCGGUGCUGGCAGCUAGACCCGCCACUGGUAUUAUUCGCAGGAUCAUUGGAGACCCUAAGUUUGUGUACCACCUAUCAGUGGCGGUUCUCACGGCAAAAACCGCCACUGGUGAUGAAUUUCCAAUAAGCUAUUAAAUUUGUUGUAGUAAAAUAAAACCGUUAUAUGGACAGGGCCGUAAAUCCUACGUGGCAGCGACCAAGUCAACAUUUCACAAGCACGAGUCAAGACGCCCACGUGGUGUGGCGCAGUCAAUCCUACAUGGCGAAGGGAGAUAAGUCAACAAGUCAAGCCUCUCAUGUCAUGGUCAAAGGGUCAAAUGAGCUAGAGUAGGGGGCAAGAAAGGUGUGAGGAGGGGGCCCUUAGUCCAUGGUGGACCAUGGACCAAGCCCCACUUUUCUCACAUGGUGCACACAAAAGCUAUGCACCAAAGGAGCUACUUUUAACAUUUUGCCCCACUUUUCUCUCUUCCUCAAGGGUAGUCAUGGUCUUUUGUCAUGGACCCCAAGGCUAUAAAUACCCCCCAAUGGGGGCAUGUACCAUUCACUCUCACUUGAAUAAACUCAAGGGGAGAGGGCUAGAGUGCUCCCUCUAAGGUUCGCUCUCGCGCGCCGCUCUCGACUGAAAGUCGAUCGGCCUCGAGGAAGCCUUCUAGGGGACUCUAGUUUCGAGGCUCCGAGCUGGCCUUGGUUGGCUCGGCUUCGAAGGAGAAGGGGUUGGGUUAGAGUUCCGACGGUAUCCUAACCUCGAUACUUGGAAAGACGCGUUCGGUCCAAGUACGAGGCGGCCCCGAUGAACCUCUUGCUAAAAGGUGUCUUGGGAAGAUCCGUUCGGCUCAAGCCCUUGGCGUACACACCAUACUUUUAAGUCAAACCUACAUAGGAUUAAGUCGCACCUGCAGGGUCGACCGAACCUAUUAAAAAAAUAUCGACGUGUCAACUUGUCCAAGUGUACGGCGACCUUCUCUAUAAGGCCGGCGUACACACCAUACUUUUAUACCCGCACUUGUGCCAUCAAGCAUUGGCACCCCUUACUCUUAUUGUUGUCGAAAACAACAAAAUUCAUAUUAUAUUCUCUGGGUUUUAAAUAAAUACACCACCUCUUAUUUUAUGUCUAUAAUAAGAUUCUUUAUCCUCAGUAAACUUUUGAACCAUAUAUUCAAAUGUUAUAUACCCUAAUUUCUAUGAUUAAGUGUCAUUAUGUGUGGCUUUUGUGCUAUAAAAAUUCUAUAAAAUUCAAUUUUUCUCAAAAAAUUGUCACAUUGGGUGUGGACACUUCCCUAUUGCUAUAGAACACCCAUAAAAAAAAUUCAAGUUCAAACAAAAAAACAUGUCACAUUUGGUUCAUGGGGUUGGAUGGUUUCUAAGAGAUCUAUCAUAGAUGGUUCCAAAACGAUAAACGAAAGUGAAAAAAAAGAAGAACCAAGGUGCAUCCUUUUGAACUUUUGGACAAAAAUUUAUAUGUAAGAUUAUUGAUUGAUAGAAACUUUCCAUGCAAAUUUUCAGAUCAAUUUGGGCAAAAUUCAAUUUUAAAUAAAUUAAUAGCUUGAAUAUGAACAACAUAAACAUAUAAAUUAUGAUGAUAUUUUUGUAUUUAGGUUUGAAACUUUGAAUGGAUAAUAUUGGUAGUUUACACUCAAAAGGACAGGUGUUUUAAUUUUUGGGUGGACACAGAAUAUAAUAUGAAUUUAAAACUUGAUUCAGAAAUUAGUAUCAGUGGCGGUUUUGCAUGCAAACCGCCACUAGUGCUAGAUGCAGGAGUACUGGUGCAACACCAGUGGCCGGUUCUGCAAAUAGACCGCCACCAGUGCUAGCUCCAGUGCUACAGGCACUGAGGAGCACUGGUGGCAGUUGGUGGCACAAACCGGCCACUAGUGCUAGAUCCAGGAGCACUGGUGCAGCACCAGUGGCCGGUUUUGCAAAUAGACCGCCACCGGUGCUCGCUCCAGUGCUAUAGGCACUGAGAAGCACUGGUGGCGGUUGGAGGCAAGAACCUGCCACGGGUGCUUAGCACCGGUGGCUGUUUUUCUUGGUGAACCGCCACUAGUGCUGGUGCAAAAAACCCCUUGGCCAGCAUGAGUGGCCGUUCUUUCUCUCGGACCGCCACUAGUGCUGCCAUGGUAUAAAUAGAUAGCGACGGGACUUGGCGAAAUUUCGAACACUCGCCCGCGCAUCCCAUAGACCAGCAGCGGCACUGCUAACCCUAACGCGGGCGAAGCCCUGCCCCGCCGCCGACUCACCACCACCGCCGUUCCCCUCCCCCACCCGCUUCGCCGCCGCCGUAACCCUCCUCCUCCCCCACCCGCCGUUCUCCUCCGGCCCCUCCUCUUCCCCUUCUCCUCCAUGACCCGUCGCCACCGCCGCCGCCGCCGCCAUGGUCCGCACUCGCGGAACCGGCCGCCCCGGCAGACCUUCCGCCCCGCGACGAGCAGACGGAGGAGGCGGCGCCACCCCGCUGCACGGCGGAAUUGGGCCUGCCGGACUUCGUGGACGAGGUCCGAACUCCGGCGGGCCGCCGCGACACACCACUGGGCUCCUCGGUCGCCGGUGCCGACGAGGUAAGUUCCUCGUUUCCAUAUUUUUCCUCUUUGAUUCUUAGUUUUGCUGCAAUUAGGGAUUAGGGUUAGGGUUAGAAUUCAAAUUCAUACUGUUAGAAAUUAGGGUUAGGGUUAGGGUAAAAUUAGCAAUUAGGGAUUAGGGAUUAGGGUUAGGGUAAAAUUCAUAUUGUUAGCAAUUAGGGAUUAGGGUUAGGGUAAAAUUAGGUUAGAAAUUAGGGUUAGGGUUAGGAUUCAAAUUAGGUUAGAAACAUCCUUGAUAGAAGUUAGGGUUAGGACUCAAAUUAGGUUAGGAUUCAAAUUAGGUUAGAAACAUGUUUGAUAGAAGUUAGGGUUAGGACUCAAAUUAGGUUAGAAACAUGCUUGAUUCAAAUUAGGUUAGAAACUUUCAACUUAGGGGUUAGGGUAAAAUGUGGCUUGCUUGAUAGAAGUAACAUGCUUAGGGUUUUUCUGAACAAAUUAAUUAUGUGAUGAUGUGGCAUGCUUGAUAGAAGUAACAUGCAUGCUGUUGAUGUGGGCCCGGCCAUCGUGUCGAGGCCGUUGAAAUUUAAGGGGCCGGCCAUCGCGCCGAGGGGGUAUAUGUGGUUGGAUAACUUUUACACAGGUUUCAUUGUCGGGUAGACCAAUUCGCUAGCUUUAUAGCACGGGUCAUGCCGAAUUUUUCUAGGUUUACAAUACGGGUCAUGCCGUAUUUUUCAAUUUUUUAAAGUAAUCCAUGUAAGGGCAUUGUAUAAGAAGCUCAGGGUCAUGAUGGAGAAAACCCUGAGGACUCACCUCAGGGUUCUUCAUCGUCGGGGACACCAAUAGCCCAUAGCCAAGACGACGAGCCUGAACAUGGCGGCGGUGAUCCUUCGGGCUUCAACGUAGGCUCUGAGGCUACCACGUCGCAGGCUACUUCUAAGAAGAAGAAGAAGGCGCCGCGUGGGUCUAACAAGCCGACGAAGGAGAAAUUCAUCGUCACCAAGACUGACGACGUGGGGAAACCCAAAUCACCAAAGAGGGCCACGUCGUGUUUUGCCAACACUUGCAAUGCAAUCGUUCGCGAGUUCACGAACAUCAAACAAAGAUGGACCGAGGUUCCAGAGAGCGUAAAUCAAGAUUGUUACGCCAAGGCAUGAGAGAGGUUCGAGGUGCCUGAUCCCGUGCUCGUGAAGAAGUAUUCGGAGUGAUGAAGACCACAAUGCGUAGGGGUCAGAGCAAUGGGGGUACCAAGGCCAGAGCUUUUUUGACGAAGAUUGGGAGACGGUGAUUCAUAAGAAAUGGCCGAGGAUCACAGAGGAGGAAUGGGAGGAGUUCAAGGAGAAGGAAAAGGAUCCAAAUUUCAAAAAAACCCAAGAGUGGUACGCGACGCUACAUGCCAAGAGGAAAUUUAACCACCGCCUUGGCAGUCGUGGUAUCGAGGGAAAGAAGCCGGUGUGGGAGAAGGAGGACGCCGAGCUUGCGGCAAGAGGGAUAGUCCCUCUUGUCCCAACAAUGCUCCGUCAUGACCGGUCCACCACCUUUGUGCGGAGUACCAUGACAAAAGAACAAUGGGCGGGCUUGACCAGAAAGUUUUAAUCUUAAGGCCUCAACUGCCAUUUCUUUUUCAGUUUAGCUUCUAACACACUCACUUAUAAAUUGGCACCGACUUUGUCUUAUUUCAGGACAAGGUCGCCGAGUUCGAGUCGGAAGGCUCCGACGACGAGCUCCGUGCACGGUGGGAUUCACCACUAAGCUAUGCUCUAGGAAGAAAUGAGCACGGGGGCCAUAUUCGAGCCUUAGGAACCGGGGCCCUUCGCCGCAAAGUCUUCCCUCAAGAGAAAGAAGCCCGGAGCCGUAAAAGAAAGGCCGAGAAGCACGAAGAAAUAAUAGAGGUGGCGAAAAGGGCGGCGAGGGAGGAGUUUUUCACUUGCUUGAAAAAAGCAAGGAACUCCGGCCAGACUAUGGAGGAGUUCGUUGCUACAUAUGAUGGCAACCGGGGCGCGACACCGAGGCCUAUGACUCCGCAUGAUCAUCAGUCGACUUCGAAUCCUUCGCCGCCGCCAUAUAAGAGCAGUGCUGGCUCCGGCAUCGAACUCCCGGAUGACCCUGAUGGCCCAUCUGAUGACAUCCUGGUAAGCUCCUUACUGAUACCAUAGUACACACACACACACACACACACACACACACACACACACACACACACACACUCAAUUACGUCAUUCUUCACACCAUAACACUAACGUACGUAUGUUAAUUUGUUUGUCACGCACAGAAGAGUAUUAAGUGCCGGAUAUUGAUGCCAUCCACUGGGAAUCGGUUAGGCGCGCGUGGUCUGCUGAUGCCAAGAAUGCCGGUCGUGCACAACAUGCCCAUGGCCCCGGAUCAUGUCAACGUGCAGGUGGACUACGUGCUCCCGGAAUUUGACAAGACGCCAGUCCCUUAUCCUCCAGAGGAGGAAUCAGUGACUCUAUCGCAAUGUCGGGGCACAUACAUCCAGUGGCCCAGGAGGUUGGUUGCCCUCGCUACCCAACCUUCUCCCUCUCCGUCGUGUUCUGGAGCGUCUCCACCGGCUUCCGCUCGACGACUUCCCUCUCCAUCGCCCCUUGGCCCAUCCCCCAAUAAGCCGGCACGUCCGGAUUCACCAACAUAGGGGCAAGGAGGCUUCGAUUUCGAACCACUGCAAGACUGCAAUGAUGAUGACGCUGCACCAGCUCAUGUGCCGCCGCCUAAUCCAUCGCCGCCCCACCGUAAAGACAGCCAACCCUCACAACCACCAUGACCUGCACUCGUGCCACAGAAAUCUAUGGCGGGCGCGCUGGAGUACACGUCUGGCAAGCAGGUCUCCCAGACCUUCAAGGAUCAAGAAGAGGCCGAGUUUUUGAAACGCCGGCGCACCAAUAAGAGGGGGUCCGAAAUCAGCAAGAGAUCCAAUGACUCGAAGAGUAAAGAGUUGGACUCAACGGGCAAGCAACCCAGCAAUCCGCCAAUAAUCGAAGGGAAUUGGGAAAACCGGCCAGAUGUUUUGAAUAUGAAGCCCCCCCUGUAGUUGGUGAUUUAGUCAGCUGAGCCUACUUCGUGGCCAGGGAAUUCAAUAAAGUGCUGAUGUUCUACCCUGGACAACCGAUGGUCAGCCUUAAGGACCUAAGGAGCCUGCCGCGAGAGAUGCAAGAGCUACAUGGCUACUACAUGGCAUCAUCAGCUAAUUCUGCACAACAUGGUCAACAGAUGAAUGCGAAGGUGCCAGAGUAUUAUGGCUUCUACGAUGCCGAAACGGGGGACCAACAGACAAAGGAAUUUACCUUCGGCGUGGACUUCCUUGACUUGUUUCACGUCUUCAACCAGAAGUGCUUAGACAACAACAUGUUAAGACUCCAGUGUGUAUACUUCACAAGGGAGUCCUUCCGCCUGAAAGAACCACACGUUGCCAUCGCCGAUCCUCUCCUCUUCAACAAAGCAACCAUUGGUCUAGAAGAAUGGAAACGGGGUUCGAGAGAGAAGGCAAUUUCAUACCUAGCUAAGUUCUUCGCAAUGCACAUGCAACGCCGUUAUGUUCUUACACUCUACCGUUUAGAGUAAGUUGUUCUCACGACCAUUGCUUUCUUUCUCGUUCCACUAAGUUGUUCUCUUUUCGGUUAUAAAUGUGUGUUCUUUUUGUAAACAUCGAACAUUGGGUGGUGGUGGCCUUCUCUUUCGAAGAAGGGUCGGUGACAUAUCUUGAUCCACUCCGAUGGAAGAAAGGCAUGUGCCGCGCGACUUCAAAGCCGUCGGAACACUCUUCGAAGAGGCGUGGAAAAAGGCGGUGGCUGAAUAUGAGUUGCCAAGCUACGGCAGGAAGAAAAUAACCCAUCACAGAAACUUCCCAUGCAUACAACAGCCGCAAGGUAUGGUCUUCUGUGGAUACUACUGCGCGUACAUCAUCCGCAAUUGGGUCACCAAUUUCAAUCCCAAGACGAAGAUGACCUACCAGCAGAUGGUGGAUUACUUCAAGACAGAAUAAGAAUAUGGACACAACCCAGCUGUUCUUGUGUUUGAUAUUCAGAGGGAGAUAGCCACCAUUCUCAACAAAGAGGUCUUGAAGGAAAACGGUGAUUUUUAUGAAGGCGAGGUUGUGCCGAUGUAUUGAAACUUUGAUGUACAAUGUUAAAUAUUGAAUAUCUGUGUUUUUGUAAUAAGUUUUGUGAACGGAUGCUGUUAUCUAUCAUGGAUGUGUGAUUUUCUCAUAUAUAUUGCUGUUAUCUAUCAUGCUGUUAUCUAUUGCUGUGUUGUGAUAUAUUGCUGUUACAGGAAUGUUCUAAUAUAAAAAAAUAUUUUUAAAAAACCGGAAAAGAACAGUAGUGGUUGCGUCCCACCGCCAUUGGUGCAGUACCAGUGGCAGUGACAGAGAACCGCCACUGGUGCUACAAAAGCAUACCAGUGGCGGUGAGGCAUCACGGCCACUGGUAUACCACCAGUGGCGGUGGGUAAGCACCGCCACUGGUACACUACUAGUGGCGGUGAUGACGCACCUCCACUGGUAUGUAACAGUGGUUGUCCUUCCCAGGGCCACCGGUGCACUUUCUGAAGCUCCCUACGGAUUACCAUUGGCGGUUGUGCAAACUGCCACUGGUGCUGCUAGCACCGGUGGCGGAUAUCAUCACCACCACCGGUGCUCGUUAGUGGCGGUCCGGGUUACCGCCACCGGUGUGUAAGUCGGACCGCCACUGCUAACCUGUUCCGGAGCAGUGUUAAUACAAUUUUAUUGUAAAGCAUUCUCAGUUUUUCGGAGAAUAAUGUUUGAAACAUUUACACCAUAACUCAUUAAUACACUAUGAUGUGUACAACAUUGGUUCUUUGGAGAAGAAGUAAUGUUUGAAAUAUUUACACCAUAACUCAUUAAUACAGUAUUAUGUGUAAAAUAUUUGGUUCCUUGGAGAAGAAUGUUUGAAACAUUUACACUAUAACUCUCAUUAUCCUCUUCCAAUUUGGGGGCGUACUUAAUACAAUGUUAUGCGUAAAUCAUUCGGUUCUUUGGAGAAGAAGAAUGUUUGAAACAUAUUUACGGUAUAACUCAUUAAUACAAUGUUAUGUGUAAAACAUUCGGUUCUUUGGAGUAAAAGUUUGAAACAUUUACACUAUAACUCAUUGCCUUCUGGUCAUUAUGAAAGUCAAGCAAGGCUUAUGAAAAUUAUCAACUAAAAAAGAUGUCAUUUCUUAUAAAAAUGGCUUCGGUGUUUCGAAUUGGGAGGUUUAGACCCUAAGUUAUGAAACUUCGCAGGAGAUACUUCAUUUUGUGAGCAUGUAGCAUUUCAAAGUUUUGUAUUGACUUGAAAUUUUUAUUAUUUGUAUGUAUUACCAAAAUAUGGCUCCACGCCAAAAAGUUUUAUUUUUCGACAAGGUAUUAUUUUAUUUUCUAAUGUUAAAAUGAUUUAUAAAAAGUUAAAUAAUUAUUUUUGCAGAUGAUAAUAUUAUAAUAAUUCACAUAAAUCACUAAGAGAGCUAAAAGGAGGACUACAAAAUUAUCAAGACAAGAAAAGGAAGGGUGAGAGAGAGGGUGGGAGAGAAAAUGGUUUUUUCAUAGCGUACUGUUUGGGCACACUCGGCAUAGACCUACCGAAGGUAGAGAAAGCAAGGGAAGGAGAAAAAUAAUUUUAAAACAUGUUUGUCGAGUGGGCACUCGGCAUAUAUGUUGCCCACAGCCUUUGCCAAGUGCCGUCGGAAAAGGCACUCGGAAACCGCUCCCUUUGUUGUCUGCGUGCCAGCCGUGGACGCGUGUCAGAUUGAUCAGCAUGUUUAUUUUACUGUUAAUUGCUCAUUUUCAAAAGCUAAACUCCCACUUUGAGCUUAAUUGAGGCUUUAAUUAAUGUUUAACACAUGAUUAACUCUUAAAUGAGCAUAUUUACAUGCUUAGUACAAUUAUUUCAGAUGUGUGCGUCUAGGCACAAAUUCUUCACUUUGGAAGGAGGAAAAUGGAAGAAGGCCAGCUAAAUUAUCAUCAACUACAAGCCCCUGAAGGAUCUUCUUGGGCAGAAUUGUGACAAGUUGGAGGGCUUCUUUGCAAAAUUCCCAACCACUCCAUGCUUUAGCUUAAAUACAGUAUGCCCGCCUGUGUGUGUGGGUGGCUCGAGGGGGAAGGGACCAGAGGAAAGGAGAGGAGAAGAGAGAUGGAAGCCAUGGAUGGGGAGGAAGCUCUUUGCUCGAUCGUGGUGAUUGAAGCCCUGAAGAUCUGCCUCUACCCCGUCUACUCCUUGCUUCUUCUUCUCAAGCAAAUCGGUGACAAGCUACAAUUCUUCCCUGUCUAGCUCUCUGCUUCCCUGUUGGUGCUGUGUAACCUGAAUUCAAAACCCUAGUUGUAAUCUCUCCUUCUUCUAUUGAAACAGUGCUUAGAUCUAUGUUGGUUUAGUUCAAUUCUGUGAUAAUUGUUGCUCUAGUUAUGUUCUUGUGGUUGAAUGCAGUUAAAAUUCAGUAAAGUGUUCUUGUUUCAGUUUGUUGUUGAUGUCAUGUUUAGAUUUCAAGUAAUUCCCUUUGUGAUCUGAUCUCUACCCUGUCUAAAACACUUGCUUCUUCUCUUCCCUUGUUAAAUUGCUUGUUGUCCUUUGUUUAGUUGCUUAAGUAGUGUUAAUUCUGCAGUUUUAUAAACCAAAAGCAGUAGAUCCAGUAGCUUUUCAUCUCUAUUUCAGUUCUGAAAAUUACAAAACCUUCAUCUUGCGAGACUAGCUUUGAGAAACUGUUGAAACUUAGAACUCACUCCCUGAGGAGAACGGACAAUCACUACUAUAUUUGCAUUGAUCAAAUUGGCGCCAUUGCCGGGGAGUAAUUUUGAGUGCCAACAUUAGUACCAGAGAAUAGCCCUUAACCUGUUUUAUUCUUCUUGCUUCGGCUGAUUAGUAUACUAACCUACUGUAAGAGCAACACUUUUCCUUUUAAGCCCUUUUGAUCUGUUUUUUAAUUUAAUUAUUAUCAUCAUCAUGUCAUGUUCAUGUCAUCAUCUCCAUUUUGCCAUGUCAUUAGCAUCAUGUCACAUGAAAUGUCAUAAUCCUUGCAUUAAACUUGUUGCUUCUUUUGCUUUGUCUUUUCAUGUGCUUUACAAAACCCUAAAAUAGUUUUGCUUAUUUUUAAGAGGUGGCAAAGUGCAACCUCAAAUUAUUUUCGAAACCAACUUUUGCCUUCAACAAUUAUUCUUGGGAUUAAUUAAACCCAUGCUUUCUUUUCCUCUAUUUUGAAAUCCAAUUUUCAAAACAACAACUUGCAAAUCUUUUGCUAAAACUUCCUUGUCCCUUUCUUUUAUUUUCUGUUUAUCUAAUUUUCCCUAAAUGCUAGAUUUGAAUUUUGUAAUUCAAAUCAAAGUGUGGCCCACUCCAAAUAAAUAGAAGAAGAAAUAGAAAAGGAAAAAGGGAAUUGUUUUACCUCUCAGCUGGCCCAUUCCAAACUCAGCCAACUCACCGCGCAGCCCACCUAGCCCAGCUUCUCCCGAACCGGUACGCACGCGCCGAAGACGCUUCUUCUUCCUCCCGCUUUCUCUCUUCCUCUCUCUGCUUUCUUCCUCCUGUACGGCACGCAUCUGAGCCAGCCACGUCGGCUACCCCUUUGAUUAGACGGCCCCCGCUCUCUUCCUCGCUCUAUUUAAGACGCCCCUCGGCCUCUUCUCUCCGCUAGAAACCCUAGCUAGUUCUUCCCUCUUCCUUUUUUCUGGCCGCCGCCAUCGCUCCUCACGGCCGUGGGCACCUCACCAUGGAGCCGCCGCCUCCGGCCGAACGACGACGAACCUACCGCGUCAUAAGCCUCGCCUCUUCUUUCUCUACCUCCAAACGCAAGUAUUUGGACCAUGUUCUACUACGGCGAGAGCUAGCUCCUCUUCUUCCUCUACGGCCGCCGGCACUUCCCCGCCAUAUUCCCGCGAUCUGAGGCUUCCUCGACUCCAAUCGUGUACUCCUUAGUCAUCUAAGUGAGCUCCUCUUUCUCCUGCACCUUUCCCAGUCCGUUUUGGUGCUCUGUAGUGCUCUAGCCACGUACGCGUGCUCCGGCUUGCCGCCGGUGAGCUGCUGCUCGUCAUCGCGCCGCUGCACCUAUAAGGAACCUGCGACGGCCUUCGUGACAUCUAGAUAUGCUCCGCGUUCCGCUGCUUUUACGCCGCUUAGCCGCCCUCCACCGCCUCUGUUGGUCUCCGGCGCCGGUGAAGAUGGACGUGCUGCCGUGUGUUCUAAAGGCUCCGCCAAUUGUCCUGUUAAGACGCUGCGCGUCCAAUCUGUAGGACGAUCUGCUCACCUGUCCCAGUGGCUUGCUCCUUCGUCCGUUUCCCAGAUCCCAGGCGACAGGAGUUCGAAUCCCCUCCGUUAGAAAUAAAUCCCCAAACUUUUUCCAGUUAUACGAAACUGACAGGUGGGACCCCUUGGUCAGUGACCGUAGGGACCAGUUCAGCGCGCCCCGCCGCGUCAGCCCUCCCGGGCCCGCUGUCAGUCUUACAGCUAGAUGCACCCGAGUCCCUUUAGUUUCUGUGUUUUGUUUUCCAAUUAAAAUUCCAGAUUAUUUGCUUUGUUCUUGUUUAAAUCAUAUCUUUUGCAUACCUUGUCCAAAUCAUGCAAACUUUAUAUGCAAAUUGUUCCGAAAAAUAUAAAGAAUCAAUAUGUGCCAUCUGUUUUCUGAAUUGAACUUGUUUAAUUCGUUUAAUUCAUACAAGUUGAUUCCUAACUCCAAAAUUGGCGAACCUUAUAUGAAUUUUGAUCACCAAGACCUUCUUAACCUGUUCAUGGCAUUCUCAUUCAUGAUUGGACAACUUGAACCUGUUGUUUAGUGUAAAACAUCUAAUUAAUGCAUAUGGAAUUUGAAUUCCAAUGCUUUAGAAAUUCCAAUCCAUUUAAUGUGAUUAGUGUAUCAACCACUUGCUGUUAAUAUGUCAUGCAUCAUCCCUCUGUCCCACAUCCUUCUUUGAAUGCGCAUAUUAAUUACCAUGUGAACUUGUAUGCUUAUACCUUCUUCUACUUCUAUGUUGUGUAUUUGCUUCUUCCUCGUUAGUCCUCGGUUCCUACGACGACGACUACGCUUGUGUUCUUCUUCCAGGAUUCUUGCUCAAUUUCGGGCAACUGAGUACUCCAGGCAAGCAGCCAUUCCUUCAUCAUGCUUCCUCACAAGGUGUUGAGGGGGUGAUAAAACGAUUAUGUUGUUUGGUGUUUAGUAAAUAGGUUAAUCACCCUGCACCUGGUAGACGCUUCUCUUCCUCUGAUUAGACGUUGUUAUUAGAGUGUCUCUCCAGAUAUUGUUGCUUCUGCAUAACCCCACCAUAUAUACCUCCUUUGAGACAUGUUACAUGAAUAGUAUAGUUCUCCGCGUAAGUCUUGCGAGUACUUUGUAGUCAGUUGCUUUGCAACGUUGUUUUAGAGAUUCCAGCAGAGCAGGUGAGCUAUCGCUUCGUGGAGCACGAUGUUGGAUUCGGUGUUUAGCCAGGAGAUCCAGAUCAAGGUUCUGAGACUUGUUGCGGGUUUCCUUCCAGCUUCCAGCUUCUUCAGGCCAUGCUGUAUUCUUGUCCGUACUCGGGCAUAGUUCGAUUUCCAUUGAUGUAAUGAUGUAAUGUUGGGACAUGUGUACUCUCUUUGUAAUAAUUGUUAUUCUGCUCCUUAUACUCUCUUCUGUAUAGUUUUGUAAUGAUAUUCAUGUUGCAAAAUCCUGCGAUGAGCACCAUGCGUGUUCUGCGUUGAAGUGUUCAUCGUGGGUUAAGAACAUGAGGCUUGAAUUAUGCAAAGAUUAGCAAUUGGGGCUAAAUUGCAUAAUUCCGGUCCCAAGCACCUACUAAGAAGUUGUUGGUUAUGAGUGUGUGUAGGAAAAUUGAUGCAUGAUAACAAGAGCACAGUUAUAUAGAUUGAGAGAUAAUCCAGAGUUAGCAAGAACAAUCUGUUAGAUCAGAGAAGGAUUGAGACAAACUGCUAGAACUAGAAGAAAGCCAGUAGGUAUUGAAACUUCAGACAGUUCAUCUUUUGUCAGUGGCUCUGAAACUGAAAUUUCAGCAAUGAGAGAUACAACUUUGGUCCGGUAUUUAUGGAUACCAAAUCAUCAGAAUGUGGCUGCAAAUGUCACACGACCAGUCAUUGAAGCAAAUAACUUUGAGUUGAAGCCGGCUCUGAUAAGUAUGGUUCAACAUUCUCAGUUCAGUGGCUCAGCUCUUAAUGAUCCUCAUGAGCACAUUAACCAGUUCCUAGAGUACUCUAAUAUAAUAUAGAAGAUGAAUGGGGUUUCAACUUAUGUCAUUAAGCUUCAAUUGUUCCCAUUUCCAUCGAGAGCUGGUGCAACAUGUGGCUGAACGCUCUGCCUGCUAGCCAAAAGAACAGCUGGGUUCUUUGAGAAGUAUUACCCACCUAUGAAAGCAGCAGAAUACAGAGACAAGAUAAACAAUUUUGUGCAGCUUCAUGAUGAGAGUUUGUAUGAUAUCUGGAAUAGAUACCAAACAUUGCUCAGGAUGUGCCCCCAUCAUGGAUUGGAGAGAUGGUUGGUUUUGCAAACUUUUUAUAAGGGUUUGACACCUAGUACUAGAGCAUUGGUUGAUUCAUCAGCAGGAGGAGGCUGUUCCUGGUAGAGAAAAUACACAAAACCAUCACAUUUAGGGCAACAUUUUAAGAAAACUACCUUUAAAAAAAAUACAAAUGACCAUCGCUUUCGAGCACCGAGGUACUUCCGCGCAUUGAUUAGCCAGUUAAGAGCGUUUUGACAAAAAAAACUUGACAAGAGGACCCACAUAUCGGUGCCACCAUGGCGCCACGCUAGACAAGCUCUGUUCCCCUCCCGAGCUCUCCUUUUCCCCAGUUUCCCUCCCUCGUUUUCUCCUCAGCCGAGCCGCCUACUGCUCCUACUCCGGCGAUCUCGUUGAGCUCCCCUCAAGAUCCGCGCCCCUAAUCUGUCCUCCGCUUAACAACCUUCACCCAUUAGUUGGACCGAGCGCUUCCGUCGAUCACCUCCCUGACCCUCGACAGUCAGCCUGUAUUGGUAGCACACGCCACUAGCGCUGCCGGCUGUGUCGUCCGCGAUGCUAGCGAUGUCUCUGACGUGGAGUGCGGCCGCGCACGAGUAGCCUUGAAGGAACUGGUCCACGCACUGCUGCAUCGUCACGUUGGUCAGCGGCGAGUCGGCCUUGAGCAUGAUGGUGUCUCCUCUCACCUCCACCAUGGCGUACGACGACGUCGUGUUGCAGGUCAGGGUGUUGAGGCAAGUGUACGCCGUACAGGGAGAAGUCGUCGCAGGUCCCAGAGGAGGAGCAGACUCCAUGGACGCCGCAGGCGAGGGGAAGCUCGUAGAACCCCCAGCGCCUUGUAUGUGGCGCUUAAUCAGUUGAGGCCUUGGUCGAAGAAGUAGAGGCCCAUGUUGCCGUCGUCCCCGAGCUCAAAGAAUCUGGCCCCCUGCAGCCCCGCACCCGAUUUCUCCACCGCCAGCGGGAUUCGCGCCAUGCAUGGGCCGCCCUGACGAGUCGAGCAUCGUUAGCCCCGACGCGUCCAUUCCUGCGAAUGUCAUCGUCUCGUUGUUGCGAGGAGUCAGCUCCCGGUAGGUGUAAUGGCGGUGCCCGAAGACGAGAUAUGCGGCGAUCUUGUAUGAGAAAAGAGUUUAGUGACAAUGACUAGUGUGCUCAAGCCACAAAUUAGUUGACUUCUUUUGGUGAGAAAAUAUACUACUUGUCAUUUGCUCAAGGUAAAAAAAAUGGUAUUUAGACUUGUGUGUAAAACAUUUGCAUGGUUCCCAAGAAAAAAUGUCUGAAACAUUCAUAAGUUACUCUGAUUUUUUUUGUAUGAAUGUAAAAGGCACUAACUCAUGACAUAUAUAUUACACAAGCAACAAAGUGAUAUAAACCAAGAGGCAUAGGUGUCAAUACACUAGACUUGAUACGACCAAGUGCUUUUGUAUGCAAGUGAACUGGGGAUGUGAUUGCAGGCCAUACUCGAUGGAUGAGAGGGUAGCUUCAUCGAUCCAAAGAGGUUUCCCAAGAGAUGGAAACAGUGGGGAUAUGUCUGUCCUGCAUUUCGAUACCACAAGAUGCGCCCUCAUUUUGCUAUUUCCAAGAUCCUUCCAACAUACCUGUGUCGGCACACCUGCGUCGCCUGACAGUAGGGAGGAAAAGGAGGACAAGACUGCUGGGCCAACACCAAGGGCCAAGAGGAGGACGUGUCUGCCGGCCUGGUUUGCAGCCAGGACUGGGUCUUGUGAGACCUUCUAAUCAUUUUGUUAUUUAGCUAGGUAUAUCGAGCUUCCUUGUAACUUGGCUUUCGACAAAUAACCAAACGGAACAGAUGGUUGUGAGGGUGGAUGGAAGGAACAGCUACCGAACCAAAAUAUUCGUUGAUUGAGUUCUUGAUGGUUCGUAGCUAAAUGCAGAGUCUUACAACAAGACCUGUCCUAGAGGAGAAAAUUCGCUAGCUACGGUGCCCACGGCUCCACUCCCUAUGUCUUCAUCCAGCUUGUUAUCCGUGGCAAUGAAACAAAUCAUUCCCUCACCAGUGUGGGAGUUAGCAUCUACUCUGGCAUUGUUUAUGAAAUAAUUUGGUGAGAAGAGAGUUCAGUGACUAAUGUGUUCAAGCCACAAAUUAGUUGACUUUGGUGAUGAAAUAUACAGCUUCUCAUUUGCUCAAGGUAAAAACACAUGGUAUUUACAUUUGUGUAAAACACAUUUGCAUGGUUCCCUAGAAAAAAUUUCUGAAACAUCCAUAAGUCUAACAUCAUAAGUGAAUGCCAUGGUCUUGUUGCGAGGAGUCAGCUCCUAGUAGGAGUAACGGCGGUGCCUGAAGACGAGAUAGGCAGUGAUCUUGUAUGAGAAAAGAGUUUAGUGACUAUGACUAGUGUGCUCAAGCCACAAAUUAGUAGACUUCUUUUGGUGAGGAAAUAUACUACUUGUCAUUUGCUCAAGGUAAAAAAAAUGGUAUUUACACUUGUGUGUAAAACAUUUGCAUGGUCCCCAAGAAAAAAAAAUCAUGGUAUUUACACUAGUGUAAAACACAUUUGCAUGGUUUCCUAGAAAAAGUGUCUGAAACAUUCACAAGUCUAACAUCACAAGAAGAACACUACUCCAGAAUGUAAAAAAUGUCUGAAACAUUCAUGAUUUUGUUUCUGGAAAUCCAGCAGGACGCAACACAAAUAGGCCAGAUACAAGUUUUGCUACAACAACAUAAGUUCAGCUGCUGCUGCCAAUUAUUCAAGUUCAGUUGCAGAUCUGGUAAACGGCCUCCACUAUCAGCUCCUCGUCUAUUGGCUUUGUCAGGUGGAGAUCCAUCCCUGCUUCAAUGGCCUCCUGCAGGCCUUCCUCCAAGGAAUGCGCUGUCAGUGUGAUGAUCGUGGGGUGAGGAUCACGUAGCGGCUCUCUUCCUUGCGGAUGGGCUUGGUCGCCUCAUAGCCGUCCAUCUCAGGCAUCCGAAACAAAACAGAGAGGGAUUAAUUGAUGUCUGAAUUGGAUCUUCUUGCUGGACGACAAUCAAAGUAAAUUAUCAAAUCAAACGAAUUGAAUUGCGUGGCACUCCAUGAAAACAACAUCAUGGGUCAAACCCAAUGCAUUUAGGGUAUGUCUACUUGUUGUCAUAGUUUCGAGGGACUUAAAUGGCAGAGAUGUCUCCCCACUUUAUGGUAUAUUCCAAGAGAUUAUGCAUGAAGGAAAUGGCAACAAAUAUCAGAUAUCACAUAGAUCGAACUCAACGGAAGAAAAUGUAUAAUGUAUUAGCGAUGUUAUGGCAAAUAAAAAAAAUCCUCGACCUGCAAAGGGGCAAGCCACCUCAGGCAUUUGCAUUAAGAAGAACACUGUUCACGCAGGUCGAGAAACCCCCAAACCCCUUACCACACACCGCACACAGCAACACCGAAGCCCGUUGGACCUGAUCGAGGAGUGAUAUUUGAUUUGUUCCCUUAACCAUUACGCCAAGGGCUUGUUUGCAAUAUUAAAUGGCAAAGGUAGUUUCUUUCUAUAUGGUAUUUACACUAUUAGGAUGCAGUACACUAAUAUGUCUGAAACAUUAGGUUCCUCGGGAAAAAUGUCUGAAACAUUUAUAAGACUUAUAUGUAGCAAAAGCCAAAGUGUUUCACUGCGCCUUUUUUUAUCACUUGACAACCGUGUACUGAUGAAGGCAGGGCUUAGGGCUAACACAUGCCCGAUAAGAUUGCAGAUGAGCUUGGUUCUGUAGGUUUCUGGUCCAUAGUCAAGAAGCUGACGAAAGAGAUAUAUACAAGUACUAUACCAUAUGCUCGACCUCGAUUAAACCGUACAUUAGUACUCUAUAAGAUGAAAACUGACAUAUAUGAGGUUGAGUAAGAAACUUUCAUGACAACAGAAUUUUGGCGAACACAUCGUCGUAGACCAGUGUGGACACUCGAGGCGUCAUUUCACUAUAUAGCAUCACUACUUCCCCUGUGGUUGCUAUGUCAAGCUUCUUUGUUAUGAAACGGCUUCCCACUGGAUGGACACUGCAUGUAAAAUACAUCAGGAUUUAGCCACAGAGUAUCGCAAUACAUAUCAAUGCUUCAAGCAAUACAAUAGGAUGCGUAAUCUUAUGGACAUAUAUAUUGACAGAAGCUAUUUUUGAUUUUUAACAAUGUACAUGAAUGAGGCCGCAUAGGAUUGUUCCCUGGAUCAUACUUGAUCCGGUGAAGAAGGGAACCAAACGCAGAGUUCCUGCUAUUUAUUCCUGUACCCAAAAAACUGUGGAUGUUGUCCAGUCUGCCGCUAGCGUAUGCCAUCUCAACAUCACGAGCAUAGAGAUUCUUGAAAGCUUCAGGAGACUGAUGGAAGAUUUUGGCGGCAACCAAUAUCAGAUAUCACAGAAGAACUCAACGGAAGAAAAUGUAUUGGAACCGAAUUUUCGUUUAGCAAUUUCUAGACGAACCGAUCGGUGAACAUUUUCUAGAAACCAAAUUUCUUAAGAAACUAAGGAACCGACGGAUUGGUUUGGUCUAACCGAAUGCCCAUUGCCUCUGCCCAGUCUCAUGUUACACGGGUAAAUCGUAGAUGAAAUAGAGCGCAAAAGUAAACAUACACAAAAAUGGGUUUUGACAUAAAUUUCUUAUUUUUCUUUUUACUUUUCUCCAGUACAAUUAAAGUUCUUAUAGUUAAUUCUUAAUACUGAAAUUAGAUUGAGUGGGAUAACAUCUUAGAUGAUCAUUGUCCCCAAAUAGACUCUGUAGUGAUUGUCCCGCACUCACUCUCGCACACCUUCUUUUUUCUCGUCCCGACAGGCCCCGCCCCGCCUACUCUCUUCUUUUCUCCUGCGAUGCCUCCUCCUAAACAAAACAUCGCCGACGUCCUUCUCCUCCACACGCGACAUCGUGUCCGCCUCCGUCCUCCUCCUCCCCACAUGUCUUCACCGCCCGCCCUUUUCCUGGAAGGCUGCCGCCUCCACCCUUCCCCGCUCCUAGGGAGGCCGGACCCGCACCGCUGAUGUCCUCCCCAUGCCGGAUCCCACCCCACCUGGCCUUCCUAUGGUUGGAUCCCGACGUUGUGCUCGCCGCCAUGCACUGUCAUCGGAGGUUGUCCUGCGCAGAUUGGUCAGUAUUUUUUCCUUUUUUAUUCAUCUCCAAACUUAGAAACUCCCCCGCGCCGGAUCCCUCCCGACCUGGCCUUCCUAUGGCCGGAUCUCGGCGUGGUGCUCGCCACGACGCGUCGUCAUUGGAGCUUGUCCCGCACUGAUCUGAUGAGUAGUAUUUGUUUCCUUUUUAAUUCUUCUGCAAACUUAAAAACUCCCCCGCGCCGGAUCACGAUCUUCCUACGACCGGAUCGAUCUCGCCGUUGUGCUCGCUGCCAUGCACUGUCAUCGGAGCUCUCAUCCCGCAAAGAUCUGGUGACUAUUUUUUUCCUUUGUUUAGUUCUUCCGCAGACUAAAAAACUCCCUCGCGUCGGAUCGGCCCCACCUGGCCUUCCUACGGCUGGAUCCUACCGUUAUGCGCAGAUUUGGUGAGUAUUUUUUUUCUCUUUUUAUUAUUCCGCAAACUUUAAAACCCCCCUUGUCAGAUCCCUCCCCACCUGACCCUUCCUACGGCUAAAUCUCGCCGUUGUGCUCACCAGUACGCGCCGUCAUCAGAGCUCGUCCUGUGCAGAUCUGGUGAGUAUUUUUUUUCCUUUUUUUUAAUUCUACUGCAAAAUUUAAAAAUCCCAUGCGCCGGAUCCCGCCCUGGUGUUCGCUGCCGUGCACUUUCAUCGGAGCUCGUCCCGCACUGAUCUUGUGAGUACUUUCCUUUCCUUUUUAGUUCUUCUUCAAACUGAAAAACUACCCCACACCAAAUCCACCCCACCCGCCUUCCUACGGCUGGAUCCUAUCAUUGUGCUCAACUCCAGGCACCUUCAUCGGAGCUCAUCCCGCACAGAUCUAGUGAGUAUUUUUUUCUUUCCUUUUUUUAGUUCUUCUACAAACUGGAAAACUCACCGGCACCGGAUCCGGGCCCCACCUGGCCUUCCUACGGCUGGAUCCUGCCGUUGUGCUCGCCCCAUGCGCCGUCAUCACAGUCGUCGAGCUCGUCCCGCGCGGAUGUGAUGAGUAUUUUUUCCCUUUAAUUUAAUUGUUCUGCAAGAUUAAAAACUCCCCCAUGCCGGUCCCCGCCAUUGUGCUCGCCGCCACGCGUCGUCAUCGGAGCUCGUCCCAAAAUACAAGGAGGUCCCAAGUAUUUGAUAGGGAAAUGAGAGUUUUGUUUAAUCAGACAAUUAAUCCCUAUUAUUGGAUGCUAUGGUUACUUCCCACUUAAAUAAGACUUCAUUUCAGUAGGAAUUAGCUAGGCAUCGUAUGCAUGUGUGAAACUUUUGUAAGUAAGAAUAUUUGUAUUUUUCACUAAUGAAAGUAGCCUUCUCUCUCUUUCAACCGAGCAAAUCAUAUUCUCUUUCCACCACAGAGUGGCAUUUAAUUUUCAAAACAUGCAUAUCCAAUAAUGAUAUCACCUAAUAAUGGAUUUCUAUUAUUAUAUAAGACUUCAUAAAUGCAAAAACAUACCUUAC
rnacentral:lncRNA from 1 species